CCUGCUAGCAUUAACCAAAAGAUUAAAAAAAAAAAAUUUAAUUGCGUACAGUUUUUUAUAAACAUUUCAAAUAGCAGAUAUAUUCCUAUAAAGUUUAACUUUUUAUUUUAUUCCUGCAAAAGUCCUAAUAUUUUCAAAUAUAUUCUUGCUAUUAGAAUUCGUUAGAAAAAUAUAGUUAACUAUAAAUAAAAUACUCAACACUAAUUAGGCUUCGUUUGGGAUUGCAGGAAGAUUGCGUUACGUGCGGUGAGAAAGCACGAUGGAAAAAUAUACUGUUUGUUUCCGUACGCAAUAUUGCAUUCCGCAUAUUAUGAUAAAUCGGUUAUGAUGUAUUUUCUACGGUCCUACCAGAGAACGCAGAAACAUAUCUCUAUAUACUUUUUUCCUAACUUCAUUUUAUCUAACAGCGUCAGAUAAACUUUAAUACCAAACUAAGUCUUAGUGAAUGAGUUAAAUUAACCUUUUUACUCAUCUUAUAUUAUUGAGUAAAGUACUUUUUUGAAAAAAUAUUUUUAUAUAAUUCUAACAGUUUGAGAUUUUGGAGAGAUAUGUUUAUAAGGGCAAAAAUAUUAUUUCUCUUAUUCACUGUUAAAAAAUAAAUAAUAUUCUAACGUCAAAAAUGCAAAGAUGAAUAUCACUGCACUUUUGCAGGAAUAAAAAUGAAAAAUUAAACUUUGCAAAGAUAUAUUUGUUAUUCGGUUAUUUACAUUAACCCUUAAAAAAUAUAUAUAUCAUUUCAGCCAGAAAACUAUUUUCUGUAUAUUUUAGUUGUUGGCCAGAAGAAAAAAAAAGGAAAAAGAAAAAGAAAAAAAAAAGAAGGUGUAUGAACCAAGUUACAACAUUGGGGUAGAAGAGGGACUGGCCACACAUUUGACCCUCCUUUCUUUAAGACCCCCAUGCUUCCACCCAUCACUCCCUCCUCCACCAUUUUCCUCCCUCUCUCUCUCUCUCCAUCCUCACCACCACCACCACCACCACCACCACCACCAAAACCAAACACUAACAAUUAAUCACUCCCACCUCCUCCUAAUCCACUGUAACCACCAUUUUUUUCUUUCCCCUCUCUCUUCUUUAUUUCCAUCAUUUAUCAUCCUCAAAACCACCACCUCCCCCACCCAACAACAAAACAGAGAGAGAGAGAUAGAAAAUGAAUGGGUACUCAAAGAUGAGAGUGAACAGCAGCAGCAGCAGCAGCAGCAGCAGCAAGAGCAGCAGCUACACAACAAAGGCAAGGUCUAUAGACUUUUCAGACCCUACCACCCAUCCCCAGGAGAACCCAAAUCCCACACCAAAAGAUGACAAAAAUGUUGUUGUUGUUGUUGGUGGUGGUGGUGGUGGUGGUGGUGGGGAGAGGUUUGGGGCAGCACUGAGGAGGAACUUCUCCUCAGGUUCACAGAGGUUCAGGGCCAGUGACUGCAGGAGCUCCUCCUCCUCCUCCACCUUUGGUGCUGUGGUGAGAAGGGCUUUUUCCAUGAGAAAAGCUGCUUCUGUUGCAGAAGGGUAUUGGAGAAUAGAUGGCAGUGGAGAGGAUGGGGAUGGGGAGUUAAUGGAUCAGGAAGAAGAAGAAGAAGAAGGAGGAGAGGGUGAGCAGCAGGUGCAGAUGAGAUCUCAGAGCAGGAGGCAGAAGAAGAAGAAGAAGAACAAAGGGAGCAUCUUCAGGGCCUGUAAGAGGCUCUUUGGCCUCUGAUAAUAUUCACUUUCUUUGUUUUGGGUGGCUUCUGAAUACUCCUGAGUUCCUUGGUUUUCCUUCAUGUAAGAUUUCUCUCUUCUCAUAUGAUAUGACAUGAUCUCUUGAUAAUGAUGAAAUGGAGGAAUCUGAGCCACUUCUGUCACAUGGCAUUCAAGUUUUUGACCCAUUUCUUCUUCUUCUUCUUCUUCUUAUUAUUAUUAUUGCAACCUCUAUAUUUCUGAGAAUUGAUGGGGCAGUGCAUACAUGAAGGUCCUGUUGAGAUCUUAUUAGUUUAUGUUUCUGAGAAUUAAUGGGGCAGGACACAGUGAGUGCAUACAUGAAUGUCUUGUUGUGAUCUUAUUAGUUUAUAAUGGAAGAAUUAAUAUUAUCUCCAUUUGGAAUGCUUCUUUUUUUUUUUUGUUUGUUUGUUUGUUUCUUUUGAUUUCUCUCCUUUGAAGAAGUUUUGGUGGAGGAAAAAAAAAUGUCUACUUUUACACUUUUUUCUCCUUUUUGUAGCUUCUUACUAUUAAUCAGGUAUAUAAUAACAAUUAAUUGGACCACAUGAUCUUGUCCUUUUUCUUUUUACUUUCUUGGUUUUUUUUUCCUUGUUGUCUCAUUGAUCUUAAAACUCUUGUUUAAGGGGAUUUUUUAGAACUCUUUGGUUUUAUGAAAAUUUUGACAAUAUUUUUUUAAUCAAAAAUAGGUCUAGUAAUGUAAUGUGUUGAUCUGGAGAGAGGAUAUCAACAAGUUCGGAUUUACAUUAUAUGCAAAACAAAUCAUUAAUAUUUCGCAUCAUUCAUACUAAUUAUGAUAUUUAGGUAGAUGUUUAAAUAUCAAAAUUGUUCCAAAACUACAAAUUAUUAAUGCAUUAAUGGUUGACCUCCUCCUUGGUCACCUCACCAUAUCUUUCCCUUCUUACAUUGGUGGUGAUAUUGACUAAAUAAUAUUUACUAUUAAACAUAGCAGGUUAAUAACAUAUUGAAUAGGGAUAAUUGUAUACGGCUCUCUGCAUAGGUAUCAAAUAGUAAAAUAUUCCUACAAAACUUAAAUUAUCAGAUUUAUUCGUUCAAAAAUCCUACCAUAUGCAAAAAUAUAUUUUCGUUACCAAAAUUAAAAUAACCAUGUGUACCAAAAUUAAAAUAACCAUGUGAGUUAAAAAAACUACCCACAAUAAACUAAGGGGUAAAAUCAUCUUUUUACCCCCAUAUAUAUAUAUAUAUAUAUAUGAGCAGGGCUGCUGUGCUCUCAGGAGCCUGAGUCGUUUUCGAUGAUGGAGUUUUCGAAUCAACGAUCGGCUCCGUUAGACUUGAUCUAGCGCAUUUGAAGUUUCUAGAAAAUAAUUUUUGCGAUUUUUCGAUAUCAUUUACCUAGUGAUCGAAAGGAUUCAAAAUCCAUAAUUUUUAAUGGUUGAUAUUUGCCGUUUUCAAGUUUAACGAUGUAGAAGUAUUCAAAUCAGAUGAAAUUUUGAUAGAAAAUUCUUUAUACUAUCUACAACAAGAUCUAUAUUUCUGAUCGAAAAUUUUAGUGCUCUAUCACCACUUUUUAUAGGAUUUUUAUUUUCAGCCAUUAAAAAUUAUUGAUUUUGAAUCCUUUCGAUUGCUAAGUAAAUGAUAUCGAAAAAUCGCAAAAAUUAUUUUCUAGAAACUUCAAAUACGCUAGAUCAAGUUUAACGGAGCCGAUCGUUGAUUUGAAAACUCCAUCAUUGAAAACGGCUCAGGAGCACGGAGUCCUCCGUGCUCUGAGAGCACAGCAGCCCUACUCUAUAUAUAUAUUAUAUAGAGUUGAGCUAGAAUACUCUCGAGAGUAAACAGCGAGUUUACUCCGAGUUGUUUUCGAUGAUUAGAGCUUCCAAAUUGACGAUCGGCUCCGUUAAAUAUGAUCUAAACCAUUUAAACUACCUAGAAAUCAAAUUUCACGCACUUUCGAUAUUGUUUUAUAUCCAUCUAGUAAAUAGAAAAAUGAAUCGCUGAAAAUGAAUAUUCUUUAAAAAUGAUGAUAGGAGUCUUGUAAUCAAGAUCAAGAGUAUAGAUCUUGUUUUAAAUAGUUUAAGAAUUUUCUAACAAAAAUUCAAUUGAUUUGGAUAUCUUACACGUUAACGAGAAAACGUCUCUUAUCCACCAUUAAAAUUACAAAUUUUGAAAUCCUUGAUCAUUAGGCAAUGAUGUCGAAAAGAUUUGAAUUUGAUUUCUAAACACUUCAAUGGUAUAAAUCAUGUUCAACGGAGCCGAUCGUCAAUUUGGAAGCUCUAUCAUCGAAAACAACUCGAGAGUAAGAAGGCCAUCGUUUCUCUCGAGGAGUAUUUAGCUAAGCUAUAUUAUUAUAUAAUAUAAUAUAGAUAUUAUAUAUAUAUAUAUAUGUAUAUAUAUAUAUAUAUAUAAUUGAGAUAUAAUACUUUUAGAAGCACCAAUCCCCUUGGUGUUUCUAGGUUUCUAGCUCUCGGAUCUAUUCCUUGAUUACUAAUAGUCUUUGGAUUAAAUACUAUUCCACCUACCACCACCUAUCAUCAUCAUCCCAACCUUAUAUCUCUUCAUCCAAUGGCUAAAAACUCAAAAGCACCACCCUCUUGGUGCUUUUGAGAGUAUUCUAGCUCAACUCUCUCUCUCUCUCUAUAUAUAUAUAGAGUCCGGCUACUAUACUCCUAUGAGUACGAUCGCCCUCGUACUCAUAAGUCGUUUUCGAUGAUAGAGCUUCCGAAUCGACGAUCCACACCGUUAAACGUUAUUUAGAGCAUUUAAAACGUUUAGAAAUCAAAUUUUAUAAUUUUUCAACAUCAUUUAUCUUACGAUCAAAAAGUUACAAAAUUGAUAAUUUUUAACGGUCGGUAUGAGAUAUUUGCUAGUUUAACGGUGUAAAAGAAUCGAAAUUAGUUGAAUUUUUAUAGAAAAUUAUAUUCACUAUAUAGAUAAAGAUCAAUAACUCCGUUCUUAAAUUGAAGGAUUCGAUCAUUCAUUUUUAAGACGUCGUUCGAUUUUGACCGUUUAUUUUAUAUCCGCUUGAUGAACUUUAUUAUGAUUUCAAAAAAUUACGAAAUUUAUUUUCCAGAAGUUCCAAAUACUCUAGAUCAUAUUUAACGAAGUGGAUCAUCAAUUCNAGUUUAUCAUAUUAUUUUUUUAGACAUAAUUACAUAUGACUCCCUACUAAUAUAUCAAAUAGCAAAUAUAUUUCUAUAAAAUUUAAGUUAUCAGAUUUAUCCCUUCAAAAUUCUUUCUGUUUGCAAAUAUGUUUUUUCGUUAGCAAAAUUUAGAUAAUCACGAGUUAAAAAAAUUAACCACAAUUAGCUAAGGAAUAAAAUGACCUUUCUACCCCUUAUAUAUAUAAUUUGUAUUCUCAUAUUGAGUCUCGUCAUCUUUCUCAUCCUCUCCUCUUUAUUCAUGCUAAGGCGAGACCUGCAGCGACGGUAAAAAUAAAGUACGCCGCACAUGCCGUAGCGAAGGCAAGGAAAGAGAAAGAAAGAUAGCUUAUUACAUGAAUAAAUUUGUAAGAGCAAAAUAGUUAUUUUAUACAUCCAUUAUUAAAAAAAAUUAAUAGAGACAAACGAACAGGAAUUUUUGGAAGCACACUUGCAAAUUAGAUAAUUUUUUAAGAAAUAAAACUGAUCAUUUAAAUUUUAUAAGAAUUUAUUUAUUAUUUGAUAUUUUAACAUAGAUCUGUAUAAAAUUAACUCUAUUAAAUAUGUUUAUGUUCCGCUAAAGUAUUUGAGGCCAAUAGUUUAAAAUUGAUGUGACAUGUGAUGUGUGGCUAAAAGUCAAUAUUGAUGUGUACUGAGCUCUUCGACAUUGACUUGUGGGUGAGUGAUCGAUCAUAAACAACUGUUAUUCAUACAUCCUAUCUGGGACUAGAUUGCUAACCAUUACAUCUUCAGCAAUUACUCAAAAUAUAUUAUCUAAUGUGACACUAUUGAGUUGACAGCCUAACAACUUGGGACUUCUCUUUCAACUUCAACUGUAACAAAGUUGUAUUCAAAAAAAAAAAAACUUUAAAUGUCACUCCUGCGAUUUCACGCUUUUUUAUUUUAGUAUCCUGUGAUUCAAAAUAUAUCCAUUUAGUGCCAUGUGAUUUUAUUUUUAUUUUUUUAUUAUCGAUUUUACUAAUUUUUUUCGUUAAAUCAAUGACAGAGUUAAAACUAAAGAGUACUGAAGUGAAUAUUCAAUAAAUCUAGACGGGGUAUAUGAAGUUUUUUUGUAUAUAAUUUAACGAAAUAUAUUAACAAAAAAGUUGAUGAAAAAAUAAAAAUGAAACCACAGGAUACUAACUAGAUACACUUUAAACCACAGGAUACUAAAGUGAGAAAAUGCGAAACCACAGGAUGGUAUUUGAAGUUUACCCUAAAAGAAAUGUUUAUUGUGAUUUAAAGUAAAGGCAUAUGUUUGGAUGCUCUAUAAUUUUGGCAUUGAAAUAUUUAUACUACUUUUAUUAAAAAAAAAGAGUUAAUUGCAUACAGAUUCUUGUAAAUAUACAUCUCUAUAAAAUUCAACUUUCAUAUGAUGUUCCUGUAAAAGUCCUAAUGUUUUCAAAUAUAUCCUUGCUAUUAAAAUCCGUUAGAAAAAUUUAGUUGACUAUAGAUUAAAUACUUAACCCUGAUUAGUUAAUAAGGUGAAUUGACCUUUUUAUCUCUCUUCAAUUAACAAUUGGAGCUUUUGGAGAAACAUAUUUGUGAUGGCAAAAAGAUUAUUUUACUUAUAAAAUAAAUAGUGUUUUAAUGAUAACAAACCAGAGGCGUAUAUUUGAAAAUAUUAAGACUUUUGUAAGGACAACAUAUGAAAGUUGAAUUUUGUAAGAAUAUAUAUGCAAAUCACUAUAUUUGUAGAGACCUGUAUAAAAUUAAUCCUAAAAAAUAUAGUAUUCAUAUUCAGAAAAGAGUAUUUGGAUGCCCUUUCUGGGUAUCAAAAAACCAAUAAAAAUAUCUUAAGAUAUUGUAAAUUAUUAUAAGGUAUUCAUACAAGUUGUAAUGCUACGCCCGUUCCAUGAAGUAGAUUGAUUCAGAAUUUGGACGACAAAAACUAUGUCGUCAAAGAGGAUUACUCAAAUCAGGACAAAGUGGGCUCUACGUACCGUCCAAAGAAACCAAACGUUUCGGUUCAAAUUCUAAUUUCAUCUACUUCUGAGAGCGGGCAUAGCAUUAUUUGUGUGAUUAAUUCAACCCGUAUUAGUUUUAUGAACUUCUAUUUCCUACAUUCAAUAUGCACACCCAUAAUACCUCCCCCAUUAAAUGAACAAAAGCAACAAGCUCCAAUAGAAGGAAUUCAAAUUUCAAGAGGAAGCUUAAUUACAACAUAAUUUUGUGUAGAUGGGGAUUAAAAUCUUUUUGGGUAAAAUGUACAGAGAGCCCCUAAACUUUAGCUCUAUUGCAAAUAAGUAUUUAAACUUUUAAUUUUGGUUGUUACUUCUUCUAAACUUUAUCAAAUAGUUCAAAAGACCCCCCUUCUUAAGUGAACUCACUAAUUAUACUACUAUUUUGAUCGGAUGUCAUUCAUUUAAUCCUAUAAGACUUAAAAUAUAAAUAAAUCCUUUUUUUUUUUUUCCUUCCAGUUUUGAUAAUUAAGUUUGAUGAUCGAAGAAAAUGGUUGAACCAAACAUUUAUUUUUGUUGCUUUAUUUUUCGAUGUUAGGAUACAAAAUAAUAAUAAUAACAAUAAUAAUAAUAUUUCUUUGUGUUUUGCAGCUUUAUAAAGCUGUACGACACAAAUGACAAAACUGAUUAUGUAAUCGAAAAGAGGGGUUUAUUAAACUAUUUGAUAAAGUUUAAGGGAUCUAAUUACCAAAAUUGAAAGUUCAAGUGCCUGUUUACAAAAAAGCUAAAGUUCAGGGUAUCUUCACACAUUUUUCUCUUUUUUUUUUAUGAGUAUAAUAUACAACUGAUAUAUCAUAAACUUCUAAGUUAACCCAUCCUGUAUUCAUGAGAUUUUCUAAUGUUUGACUCAAACCUCUUUGUUCUCUACACUCAUUGCCGGGUCUCCAACUUAAUUUCAAAGUGUUUUUUCCCCUCAAUAUAUUAUCUUUUUCACUUCCUUUGGUUUCCAAAAAGUGCUGCCAAGAUAAAAGCUUCAAAUGAUUUAGAAAGAAUACACGCGCGCGAAAAUGUAACAAGCAUUUAUAAGGUAUAAUAAGCUCUUAUCAAGAAUAAAAGAGUAAAAGACAAAGGAAGCUGUUUACCGCCAAUUGUGAUCAAAUUCCUGCUGCUUCGAGGAGAUAAAAAGUGUCGCAGGAGAGCGCCGAAAUAAAAUGGCAACUGCAGAAACAUCAGUAGUUAAAACAUGAUACAGAAAGUGCAUCAAAAGGAACAAUCGAACUAAUGCAAUUUACAUUGAAAAAACAACACGGGGAUCUUCGACAUGUGGUGACUCCAACUAUCAAAAGUUUUUGCAAAAAGAUACGAAAAACCACCCCUCCAUUUCCGUGUAUCUUUUCUUUUUAGCUUUUGGAAACGAGGGUUCGAUGCAUUUGUCCCAUGAAUAAGAGUAUAAGACAAACUAAUAUAAAAGGGAAAAUAUUUACCGACCGUAGUGAUCAGAUUCCGAUGGCAUCAAGAAGCUCAGAGUGUUGAGACACAGACACCAAAGUGUUGGCGACUAUGGCACCACUAGCUGCGACUGCGGGCACUCCAAUUCCUGGAAAGGUCGAGUCUCCACAACAAAACAAUUGUGGGAUAGGUGUCGCAUGGCCGGGGAAUGUGCCUUGUCCUGCUUUGAUGGCCGGACCAUAUGUUCCUCUAUUCCUUCUAAGAAACCUCUUAUGGGUUAGUGGUGUUCCGACUAAUUUCACUUCGCAUUUCUCGCGAUCAAAUCCACGGCCCACUGCACGUUCGACCGCUCUCCACAUUACCUUGCAUGAAAGGAAGCAAACAUUUUUAUUAUGUUUCAAAUUCAAUCUGCCUAUCAUUGCUUGGUGUCUUUUGGCAUUAGUUCCAGUACAGCUGCUCUUCUGUACUCCAGAAAGUAGAAGAUUCCAGAAACCGGGCAUUUAACUACGUACCAAAAAGUUUAAAUAUUUGUCGUGGUAGGACCCAAAAAUGAGUUUUCCGGCUGAAAAGACGAAAGCUCUAAUCUGAUGUUUAAGCUUCUGCUUUUGCUACAAUGCAAAUUUAUUUAUAAGGUUGUCUUUUAAAAAAAAAAAAAAAAUCUACUCAAAAGCACUUUUGCAGAAGCUCCAAAGGGCCAAACACGCCUUAGCUCCUAAUUAUGAGAAGGUGAACCUAAAUAAAGCAGUUAACUAGAAUAAAGCAUUGGCAAUUAAUAUAAAGAGCGGAAAUCAAAUGUACUCAUGUCAUCUUGAUGUUUUACACAAGUUUUAAAUAUUUAUUUUUUAUAUAUUUUUUUGUUGAUUAUAACAAAUCUAUGUUAUCGAUGUUUCCUGGAGUUCCAAACUUCUAUUUUCCAUACUUACCGUGAUAUAAUAAAGCUCUUUUAGUAGAACACAAUAUCCAUUAUAUUGUUGAAAGCAUUAGAAAGUAGCAUAAUAUAGGAUCAAUAUGCAUACCUCAGAACGCUCUUCUUUAAGCCUCCGAUACUCCGCACCUUUACGAUCCAGUCCUUCCCACAAGCCAAAAGGUUCUGUUCCUGGAGUAUAAGCAUGCAACACAUGUUUCCCAGGGGGCGCCAAACCCUUACCAAGAACACUCGGUAUGGAUAUCGAAACGACAUUUUGCUCGGCAUCGACACCCUUGCUCCAAUCAUUAACUACGAUGUGAUGGAUUCCCAGGUCUUCUCGAAUGUUCUGUCAAUUGGAAGCUAUUCAGUUGACAUCGCUUUGGACGAAAGAAAUCAAACGAACGUACAAAGUAUUUAGUUGUUUCUUUCUCCUUUAGUUGGAUUCUAACCUGUUCCUUUUACUUUUGGAAAUUCUCGGGGCACUAAAUAUCUUUCAUUGGAUCUACCACUAAAUAGAUAAUUCACAAUAAACGAGACGGAUAAUACUUCGACCAAAAGGAUAAAUAAUACUUCAUGCGAAUGUCAAUUUACUGUAACUAUCUUUACUGGAUAAGCUAGAGAGCAAAAACUAUAUAAGAUGGAAAAGGAUGUUAAUCGUGCUAUAAGGAAAAAUAUGUUAAUGUGUUCUUCACACAUAGGAUGCAAAGAUGCAGUUAAUUCAUUUGGAAGAGUUUGAUGAAUUAAAUGCAUUAUAAUGUUCUCGCCAGAAAAUAAGGUGUUCUACUGUGAUUUGGCUUGCGUGACAAUAUUAAAUCAAUGUGGUCUUACCGCUGCGUCAAAACCCAAGUGGAGAUGCAUGAAUGAUUCGCAUUGUGGAGUUGCAUUAACUCUAUCUUGGUAAGAUUUGGGGACAAAAUCCAAAGGUAACAGAUUCAAUGUAUCCCACAUCGAUGCAUUACUAACCACAGCCUUUUUGGCACGUAUGAACUGCAAAGAAAGCAAAUUAACAAUCACGUCAGUAGCAGUAGCAAUUUCAAUUUUCACAAAUAGAGACACCAAAAGGUCUAAUGAAGGCUCUACACAUUCAAUAAUAGAAACCUACGCGUACAAAAAUUCUAAUAAAUCGACGGAUUGUAUGUACACUUUGAUUAAUGAACAGGGUGGGUGCAAAUUGUGAUACAUUCAGGGGAUUUAUCUGCACUUCAGCCCUUUUAAAAUAGCUGAUUACCUGUCCACUACUUAACUUCACACCAACGGCUCGACCAUUUUCUACAACGAUAUUUUCCACGUGAGUGCGCAGUGCGAGUCUUCCUCCGAAUUUUUGAAGACCUCGCACAAGAGCGUCUACUAUUGCUCCAGUUCCGCCAAGAGGAUACUCAAGCAUACACCCAGGUUUAUACCAUUCUGCAAACAUAUAAACCUGAGAUUGCGCCAAAACCAAAAGAGAAAACACAAGGCUUUAGCUCUAUAAAUGUUAAAACUACCAUAAAUAAUUCUCGACAGCUACUAGCUAGACUAAAGUUUUUUAAGCUUCAAAACGUAGAUUGGUUAAUCAAGCACUGAAAAAGCUAUUUUCUCGAAUAAACACCUAUUAAUAGAAAAUCUAUUACAUGUAUAGCCCUGUACAAUCUGAAUUUCCAUCUGUACCCCUCGAAGUGCAGUUUCUAACAAAUAUGACCAAGUCAUCCAAUUCUUUGGAGAAAGGUAGUUUUAUAAGAAGAAAUAUUUAAAAGAGGUAAAUUUUGUAAGUAUCUCCAGAAAGAUAUAGAAGUCUAAAAAAGAGACGAAAUAAACAGGGAAAGUAAAUAAGGAGAUGAGUUUACGAGUUCAGCUGAGAGUAUGCCAUCCGAUUUCACCCCAGCAAGUAGAAAGCUCAAUAAAUCCACCCAAUUACGUAUGAAGGGAUUUUUCAGCUCCAGUGAAUCAAUAAUUUCCGAGAAGGGUCUCAACAACUUAGUAGCACCGAGAGCUCCCUGCGGGCCCAUUUGGACAAAGGAUUUCAACAGAGACGGAGCGUAUCGAGCGGCCGCUGUAGAAAGAACGCCCAAAUCUCCUCGAAUUGAAAUAGGUGGCAGAGCCAUCGCAGCAGUAGACAUUGGUAGAACUGCAUCCUGUUGAUAUUCUUACUCAUGUUCAAUUAGAGGAAAUGUAAUCAAUCCAAUAAUCUUGCAAUUAGAAGUAUGAUCUACCAUCAAUUCUCAAGCAAGCAACAACAUAUGUAGAGAUUGCCGGUUCAAUCUGAAGGUUAUCAUCCUAUUUUUAUCUUUCAACUGGGACUGUAAACAAUAUUUGAAUUCAUGAAAAGCUUUCAGUGGUUUCUAGCUACAUUAAAAUAGUGUCAAAUUUUUAUGCUCAAGUGCAUGGGCACUGUAUUCUUUGCCUCGAAUGAUAAAGAGAGAGAAAGAGGGCGAGCAAGAAAAACAAAUUUAAGCCAAAGGGAGCGAGCGCAUAUAAAUUCAAGUUUCGUAUCCUAUGAGACGGCGUGUAGGUUAGCAACAUACAAUUUCACAUCCUAGAUUUGGCAUGUGGCUAAGGAAAGAACUGAACAAAGAUACCUCUAUAUAAGGGCUUAUUUGUUAUAAAAUUUUCUCCAGUAUUAAAUAAAUUUUCAAAUUCACUACAGGUAAAAAAAAAAAAACUCAGAGACUUAAAAUGGCACUCACGAGAAGUUUUUUCCACUCCUGCACAGCGUCAAUACCGACAUACAUCUCAAGGUCCUGUUAGAAUCAAACAAUCAGUUGAAUUAUCAGUACUUUUCAGAAGAAAAAUGAAUCAAAAAAUCAGUAACUAUUUUAAAAUCACUCAAAUUAACUCUAAAAAUUCUAUUUGGAGAUUUUUUUCCCCCUUGACCAUUUUAUUAUAUUUUAAUUUUAAACACAUAUAGAAGCAAUAACUUUAUGAUUUCAAACUAUAAACCAUAUUAAAGCUUUCUCUAUUGCAUCUGAUAGAACUCCAAGUAGAUGUCAUUUUGCAUCUGAUACAAUCAGCAAUUUUGCAAUUCCAAACAUUACUAACAAUGCAGGGUUCUAUUUAUUAUUGAAUUACAUAAAUUUCUCUCAGCAAAGCAAUCAAGUGAAUGCAUCAGCUAGUAAGAGCUCACCUUGAGAAACUCAGUGGGGCCGAUUCUUGAGAGGAACUCACCUUCAGGUAUAUAAACCAUCCAUGAGUUGUAGGAAGCACAUUCGACCGAUUCGCCCAACGCAUCAAGUACCUUAAAUCACUGAAGCCGUUUUAUCACUUAUUCGUUAAUGUUAAUAAGGUUUAAUCGUGAACAAUAAAAAAAAGGAGGAGAUUAUAAGACAAUUAUAAAUGUCAUAUAGGAUGCGCUGAAAAUGCAGAGAGUUGGAAAAAUAAGGGGCAUUUAUUGGUGUCACAACAAAAUGCUAAGAAAAUUAGAAUGCAUUAUAGAAACUAUGUAGGGAGCACCUGAGCAAGAGGAUUAGCUUGAGGACCUCUUGAUUGAAACCCAGAAAACAAGGAUGGGCCCGAGUCGAAUUUGUAACCCUUGAUAUCAAAGGAAUGAGCAGCACCUCCAGGUUGAUCAUGGCUUUCUAAUACAAGAACAUCUUGCUUGUAUCGAGCCAAAAGCCCGGCACAACAUAGCCCACCUAUUCCACUUCCAAUAACCACAACAUCUGCUUCUAGCUUCCCUGCACAUGCACAAGUAUCUUAUUCUGACACAAAGACAUAUUUACCAUCACAAGACGCUUAAAUGAGCUUCAUAGCUCCAAAAUUAGAAGCGCUAAAGCACAGCUCCUGCUGUGGACAAACAAAAAGUCUAAUUUUUUACUGUGUUCACACCAAAGACAUGUAGCCUCUACUGUCGAUAAAUAGAAAAUCAAAUAAUAAUGUGGUGGAAAGCUAAAACAAGCUUCUUAAACACCAGAAGUGCUUCUUUAGCAGUAAGUUGUUGUUUGGAGUGCUUCUCCACACAAUUCUUCUCAAACAGGACUUCUGAAGAAGCUUUCGGCCCAGACGGUUCUAAUCCAUUAAUUGUACAAAGUUACCGUCUGAUAGUCGAUGAAAAAUUCCUACUAUAUUAAACCUAAAAUCAUAAAAAAUAGUAACAAAAUCAAAUACUAGCACGCAUUCUUGGACAGCAUGAUAAUAACUGUAAGUAUUUACUUGGCUAAAAUGUGUUAGUAGUCCCUGCGCAAUCCCGACAUUGUGAUUUGGUUUCAGUACUUUUCACUUAAACACUUGAGCACCGGAAUUUUCACUUCGAUUACACUUUAAUUUCUAAGGGUUAAAAAAAAUAAAUAAAUAUUCUUACAAAAUGAACAUUUUAAGUUUGUUCACUUAGUUGAGUGAUUUUAUUCAAUUAAAUUGAGAGUUUUGUCAAAUUCAUCGGAUUCAAUCACUUUUUAGUGAAUAAAGCUAGAAUGGACCAAUUAAAAACUAACAGCUAAUAAAAUCAUUAAAUUUAACGAAGUUUGGGGGUCUUAAUCAAAAGAAAAAAAUAGGCUAAAUUAUAAUUUUGGUCCUCAAAUUACAAUCUACGUGACACUUUGGUCCUCAAACUUUGUUGCAAUUUCUGGUUUAAAACUUUUUGAAUUGUUACAAUUAAGUCCCGCAAUUCAAUUUAUAUGAAUAAAUAUUAAUACGUCACUAAUAUGGAACCAAUGUAGUAGUAUUGUGAUUGAUGCAGUACCAAUUAUUAAGAUACUAUAUCACUUCCACUGUUCCACAUCAAUAAUACUCUAAUAAUUAGCCAACUAAAUUAGUUUGAGGAUCAAAAGUGUAAUUUAGCCUAAAAUAGAAGAGUGAUCUAUAGUUGAGGGGGCUCAAUACAUUUUCACCUUUAUUAAGUAUUUCGGUUAAAAAAAAAGGAUAAACUUCAAAUACCACCAUGUGGUUUCACAGUCUCUCACUUUAGUAUCAUGUGAUUUGAAGUGUAUCAAGUUAGUGUCCUUCGGUUUCAUUUUUAUAUUUUCGUCAGCUUUUUCGUUAAUAUUUUAUUAAAUUAUAUACAAAAAAAUUCAAAUACCCUACGUAGGUUUAUCAAAUAUUCACUUUAGUACUCUUUAGUUUUAAUUUUGUCAUUGAUUUAACAAAAAAAAAUUAGUAAAACCGAUAAUAAAACGAUAAAAAUGAAACCACGGGACGCUAAAUUGAUACACUUUAAAUCAUAUGGUACUAAAGUGAGAAAGUGUGAGACCACAUGGAUGAUAUUUAAAGUUUUUCCUAAAAAAAAAAAAAAAGAAACAUGCAGGGAGCAAAUUGAAACACAAAGUAGUAAAGGGAUCGUCCGCACAUUUUUCGCAUCUCCUUUUUUUUUUUCUCGUACCUGGGAAAGGGUUUCUCCCUCCGGGAGUCGAGGGCCGACCGUCGGCGGGAUUCGCGGGAACCGGCGGCUCCUCCUCGACCAUCGAGCCACUUCGCGCCAAAACCGGUCUCCUUUCCCGCCAAUUUUUGAAUCCGGGGCGGAGCAUCGGAGGUGGCGCGCGGAGGCCUACGAGCGAAGCCAUGGAUGGAGUCGACUAAUUGAGGCGUAAAAUUACAAAAACAAAAAAUGGAGGGGGUAUAAAAGCAAAAUGGGAAGGAGAGGAAGCAACGGUUGGGUUUGAGUUUUUGGGUUACGCUGGGACGGAGAGAGAAAGAGGUGAGAAGGGGAAAGGUUCAGGGGGCCUACGUGGCACCUCGUAGGCCUUGUCGCAAAAAAUUGUGGGCCCACUUUUUUCCUAGUAGGAGUGGGGUGGAAAAAAAUCUGAAAUGCACCGGUUAUAUUGCUGAUAUUAUUUUUAACUAAUGAAAUUGUUCUUCUUAAAUUGAUACGUUUAAUUAUGGUUAAUAAAAAAAUAUUUUUAUUAUAUUUUUUUUUAAAAUAAAGAGAUAUGAUUGAUUUGUUACUGAUGAUGUAGUGCAAGUAUACUACAGUAGACUUUCUCGUAAGGUUGAGAUUACGCUUGGGCAAAUUUUUAGACUGAAUCAAAGAAAAAAAAAAGUACCCAUCUUUCACUCUUUUUUUUAGCGGAUCAAAACAAAUUCGCAACAAAUUAUUAAUUUUUUUUAUUUUUUAUUCUCACUUACUGUUUCAUUGGGAGCUGCUCGAGCUCCGUCAAGCUGGAUCCAUUUGUAUCCCUAUUUAGGAUGUUGGGUGAACAAUUUUUUUUUUUUGUUUGCUAUUUUUUUUGGUGGGUUUUUUUUUCUUUUUCAUUGCCUCUUUUAAAGUAUUUAAUUUUAUACUUAGAUUUCAAAUAAAUUUGAAUUGGAAAAAUAAUUUUAUAUUGUCCACGUGGGUGCCAUAUUGUAAAGGAUAAAUAGAAUAUUUAUCAUCAACAUGGUGAUAAUUAAUUAUAUUCUUCUCAACAUUUAUCACGGUGAAAUAUUUUACUUGAGUAUGAUAAUUAAUUUAGUGUAUUCAAAUACUGUUAACUGAGCAUAGUAAAUAAUUUAUUAUUUUCAAGUAAAAUAUUUAGUGAAUUUUUCGUUGUCCAAUGUGGCCUAUAUGUGAACAAUAUAAGGCCAUUUUUGUAUAAAAAUUUUAUAGGAUCAAUUCUAUAAUAAACUAUGAGUAACUAGUUAAACACCCGCGCUUCGCUGCAGAUAGCUUUUUUUAUUUGAUUAUCAAUUUGAAUCAAAUAUUUUGUAAUACAUAAGGAACAUAAAAGGAAAAGCAAGUGAUUGAGAGAAGUGAAGGAAAAAGAAAAAAAAAAAAAAAGGAAAAAGUGGAGAGAGCUGCAAUCAGUUGUUGGAUCUCCCUAUUGCGAGGUCGGUUUUUGUAUGACAUUACUAUCAGCCAUCUGCCUCUACCAAGCCGAAUUUGUAAAUUACAUAUACAUUAAUUUGCAAAUAUCAAAUCAACAUUCACCAAAAAAAAAAAAGAGACUUCAACUUGAUUCAUCAACAAAAAGCUUCCAUUAGUUGCUUCUAAUCAGAAUUUUAUGCCAAUCAACAACAGCUUGGGACACCGACCGUCCCUAGAGCAAGUGGCAAAGGGCUUGGUGGUUGGUACCAGAGACCCAAGUUCGAAUCCUAGUUAAUUCACAUUUUUAGGUAAGUUUAUUUCGCAAUGAAAUAAACGAAGCGGGUAGCAUGCUACCUAUCUCUCAAAAAAAAAUAAUAAUAAUAAUAGCUUGGGACAAACAAUCUGCAACUAAAGAACAAUAAAAUAAAAACAGGUUAGUCAACAUAUGAGUAAAGAAUAGUAAAUAAAAGUUAGUUAUCAUAAAGAGUAGUAACCAUCGAGCGCACUAUAUUUCGAUGCUUAAGAUAAAAAAUUACAGAAAAAGUAGUCAAUCUUUGAAAAGCUUUUUCUGUUCUUCACUUUAUAAUUCUAAAACAAAAGCAGACAACAAAUGAAGUAAUCAGCAUUCGUACAAACUUGGUGCAUUCAAAACGAUAAACCUUCUUGCAAUUUGCAAUCCUUUGGAAAAGGACAGAGCCACGAAGUCAGGUUCAAAAUUUUUUGAUCUCCAGCGAGUAGGUCUUUGGUUACCACCAUAUUUCCAUUUUCUUUUUAGUGUUUUCAUUUCGAUACCCCCAAGGCUGCAGCAACUGACAUAUGACCAGCCAACCUGCCAUGCCAUUGGGAGUGGAAGAAGAAUGUAUGGAGAAACUAACUAUUAACUCAGGCAAAUGUUGCUGUAGCGGAAGCAGGCCCGUCAGGGAGUUCUUCUCAUCAUCACAGCCUUAUAUCACAGGGCGAGGAAAAAGACUAAAACCCAAAACAAAAACAAAGGAAAGCAAAGUGGCAGUAAUGAAUAACCAAGAUAGCCAAAAGCAAACAAUGUAACAAAGAAUCAAAUGAAACAAUACAUCACAAAUAUCAGGGGGCGGAGGAAAAGAAAAAAAACUAAAGUCCAAAACAAAAUAAAGGAAAGAAAAAGAAAAAUAGCAGAUAACCAAGAUAGCCGACAGCAAGGUUCAGAUUUGUGGAUCCCCUAAAGCAAAAGUGUAUGAUAACUAUUGUGUGUUUCUCUACAAUAAUAUUCGUAGGCUGUAGCGAUUGCCCCAGGGCCGUUCGUUAUGCCAUGCCAUUACGAACAGAUUCAGUAGAGUUGUCCAUAUCAUCAUAACCUGGCACGAAAGGGCAGCAAGAGCAACACUAAAUAGGCGAGGAACUUAAAGAACUCCCCAGCAUCACAAACAUCCAACAUAGUGCAACAAAAUAAUUAUGCAGAUGCAUUCCCACAAUCCGGAGCCCAAACACUAACAAAACAAAAUUAAAAAGUGGCUCUUCCUAACGACAAAUAAAAAAAACUGUAAUAGUUAAAAAAGUGUAGAAAGCAGAAUUCAUGUCAUGCAUCUGAAAUGACCAACAAAUAUAGAAAAAGUAGAGUGAGCAGUAAAUAGCAGGUACAUAUGUGCUUAUUAGCAACCCCUCUAGAGGAAUCUGGCUUCCUUCCAGAAGAUGAAUUUUCUAAUAAUGAGCCAAAAGCUGUUGGUUUCUUCAAUAUUUGGACUGAAGCAACUGUUGCCUGCAUCAAGGAAUAUUCAACUAAUUUAACUUACCUUAAACUUCAAAUAGAGGUCAGAGAAAGAAAAAAGCCAAAAGGCUUUUGACAAUUUCAUGCAUUUCAGACACAAAUAUCAUCUCAUUGCUUAAAUUAAUAGCUAAAAGGCAUCAAUUAUACAUAUUUACUUCUACAUCUACAAUAACAAAAAACGUUAAAAAAAAAAUCAAACUUUUUUUAGGUUUCGCAUCAAUUUCUCAACAAAAGGGCAAAACCCACAACAUCAAAUCACAAAACCACAUAAGAAAACACAAAUAUUAGGCGUUUUAGCUGCAUGUAAUUGACUGCGGAUGGAUUUCUCAACCCAAAAAUUCGAAAAAAAUAUAACACCGGCGGGAAGAAGUGGGAGAAGAAGGAGAAGAGUAGGGUAGAGGUCAAGAGAUCCGACAGGAUCUAUGUCAGUCAAAGUAGGGGCAUAAGUAAAUAAAAUCUAAGCUUAACUGAGCGGGCACAUGGCGAGUGGAGCUGGUAACUAACGGGUGGAACCCGAUUCGCCAACUUAACCAGGCGGAUCAAGGAGCCCAGAUCCACUUGCAGAUUGGGCCCAGAUCAGCCCAUUACUAUUUGCUUACUUGUUUUACAGUUUAAGCCUUUAUCUUUCUGUAAUUACAUUUCAGUACGUAAUAAAGGAGGUAUAAGUAAAAUUGUAAUGGAAUUAGAGGACGGUAAUGAAAUAGUAAUAUCUUCUUCCCCAAUUUUUCCUUCUCCUUCUCCUCUCCUUCUCCGCUUUCCUCUUCUUAAUUCCUCAUUUAUCUCCCACUCUAUCUCCUUCUCCAACUUCAAUUCUUCAUCUGAAUGUUAUUGAUUUUACCUUGAUUACCGCGGCAUCAUUAGUAGUAAUCCCCAUCAUCCCUGUCGUCGUUCUCGCCUCAGCGAAUCCUCAUCAUAGGCGGGUUGCGUCGGGUCCGGGAUACUACAAUUUGGUAUCAAAGCGGCGAGAUCCGAGGGAAGGGAUAGUGAAUUGCGAGCUAAAUUCCGACCCAAGAGGUUGUUUAAUUGGCAAAGCAAAUAGCAUCCGAGCUAUGGAGCUCCCCUGAGGGUCGAGUUUCAACAAAGGGUGCCACUGCUCCGGCAAUAGUGAGCUUAGGAGUUACCUGCCUACUCGCGAGCCACUGUGGUGAGCCGAAUUGAGGUGAAAGGAUACUGCUUCUGGUCCAAGUCUUUCGUCGAACACCUGGCAUUCAGUCCGUGACAAUAGGUGCAAAGAAGGGAAACCGUUUUAAAUUUCAUAGUAAGAAGCUCCUGGAAGAGGUUGAUAUGGCCGAGGGCACCAGACUGAGAGAGAUGAGCGAGCACAUCAAUGCUCUGGAAGAAAUGAUGCAACAGUUUACAGUAGAGUACAAUGACAAGGUUGAGGAAAAGUUACAGCAAUUCAGUAUGGAUUGUAGUAAGAAGAUUGGGAUCCUUGCACAACAACUCGAUGAGAUACAACAAGACGGGUAGCAGCGGUACGAGGCUCUGCAACUUGAAGCAGCUAGGAGACAUGAAGUGAUGUUGCAAGAGAAUGCUCGGAAGCACGAGCAGUUGCUGCGGUUAUUCAUUGCUUGGCCACAACCAUCUAGCCCAUAACCUGAAGACCACUCCACGGCGAGCAAUCCCUCACUGGUGAUCAAGGAAGGGAGACAACCUCUAGGUGCUCAACCCGGGGUAAGUGCAAUUCGAAUGCAAGGGGAGUAUAAAGGGAAAGGGUUGUUGCCCAAUCCCCAUAGGCAAUUGGAGCGAACUGAGAGCAUCAAGGACGAACAACUCCAUACAUUCCAUACCCAAAACUCGAAUUUCCAAUAUUUAGUGGAGAGGAGCCCAGAGAGUGGAGUGGAAAAUGCGAGCAAUAUUUCUGAAUCUACCAAAUUCCAGAACCGCAGUGGGUAGAAGUGACAACUAUGCAUUUCAUAGGAAGAGCACAUCGCUGGAAGGAAGGUUAUCUCAUAGACAAACCGAACAUCCUAUAGGACGAGUUUGUGGAGGUGGUCUGGAGAAGAUUUGGAUGAUCCGUAGCUCAAAGGAUGGUGAGAGAAUUCAACAAGCUAACACAAAUUGGCACUGUAGACAAAUAUCAUGAAAGGUUUGAAGAAUUGAGAGCUCGAAUGCUAUACCUCAGUCCCACGCUUAGCGAGCAACACUUUAUUGAGAGUUAUAUCAGCGGCUUGAAGGAGGAGUCAGUACCUUUCAUUGACCUUUCCCACCCAACCACACUCGAGGAAGUGUAUGAAGAAGCGAGGUUAAACGAGCAAGCAUUGUCUAUUAUUAUGAGAAAGAGUAGGGUCAGUUACCGAACAGCAGGGAAUAUAUAUCAGGGAAACAUUACUCAGAAGAUCGCUGCCCCGGGGGUGGAGAACAAACCUAACUACCAGAAAGGAGGCAACUCAUAGCCGGGAGUGAACCGACAACUGUUCGAGCAAAGGAAGGUCGCUGGAUUGUGCUUUAGAUGCGGAGAGAAAUACUACCCCAGGCAUCAGUGCACUAACCGAACCUUGCAUCUCAUAAAUGCAAGCCUUGAGUCAGAUGAGGUGUUUGAUGAACAAAUGAUCACCGCUGAGGAAGAGGAAGAGGAAUCGCCCACUGUAGGGCUGGGAGAAAAAGAAACUGGCAUCUCCGUGCAUGCCCUUAGCGGACAAAAUCAACAUGACACUAUCAAGGUACAAGGUGAAGUGGGAAGUAAGGUUUACCAUUCUGAUCGACACCGGGAGUAUACAUAGUUUCAUCGACUUCCAGGUAGCCAAGGAGGUCAAGGCGAGCAUGACAGCAACAACACCACUUACGGUCACCGUAGCGAAUAGGCUCAAGGUAUUAAGCAAACUCAAAUGUGCUAAUUUUAAAUGGACCAUGCAGGGAGAACAAUACCAGUUAGAAUUAAGGGUGAUAAGAUUGGAUGGCUCGAGUAUUAUCCUAGGAAUUGAUUGGUUGAAGGCGUACGGGAAAGUCACCUUUGACUAUGAUAACAACUCCGUUUCAUUCACCAAAGAGGGAAAGUAGAUGGUACUCAAAGGCAUAGCAGAAGGAUCGAAAACGGGGGACGCAAGUGCUGAACUGAAAUUUGUAACCGUGGCCCAAAGCCGGAUUGGAAGGGAGGUGUUGUGCAAUAGGACACUAUUACCCAGGGAAGCAAACAGAGGAGGGAGAAGUGAUACCCCCUCUGGUGCGACAGGUAUUAGAGCAAUAUAAAGAUGUAUUUCAGGAGCCAAGAGGACUGCCACUGAAAAGAGACCAGGAUCAUCAGAUUCCCCUGCAGCUCGAGGCUAAACCGGUCAAUGUGCGGCUCUACAGAUACACACAUGAGUAGAAGAAUGAAAUCGAGCGGCAAAUCAAAGAAAUGCUGCAAAACACAAUCAUCCAGCCUAGCACGAGUCCCUACGCAUCACCGGUAUUGCUAGUGAAAAAGAAGGACAAUAGUUGGAGGUUUUGUGUGGAUUAUAGGCAACUCAACAAGGCGACCAUCAAGGAUAAAUAUCCUAUUCCUUCAUUGAAGAUUUACUAGACGAACUAGAAGGCUCGAAGUAUUUUUCUAAAAUUGAUCUUAGAUCCGGAUACCACCAGAUAAGAAUGCAUACAAACAACAUACACAAGACGGCGUUCAAGGUGCACCGCGGCCACUACAAGUUCCUGGUUAUGCCUUUCGGGCUAACCAACGCACCUGCCACCUUCCAAGCCAUCAUGAAUGAAAUAUUCGAGCCCUACUUGCGCAAGUUCGUGCUGGUGUUCUUCGAUGAUAUACUUAUGUAUAGCAAGGGACUAGCGGAGCAUGCAGAUCAUUUAAAGAGAGUGCUGGAGACACUACGGAAGAAUCGCUUGUUUGCGAAAAGAAGUAAAUGCUUCUUCAGGCAAGAACAAGUCGAGUACCUCGGGUAUUUAAUAUCCGGCAAAGGGGUGGCCACCGAUCCCUCCAAGAUCGAGGCUAUGAAGAAUUGGCCCACCCCUGCGACAAUUAAGGAGUUACGAGGGUUCCUAGGGCUCACGGGGUAUUAUCAACGCUUCAUUAAAGGAUAUGGUGGUAUAAGCAAACCUUUAACCGAGUUGCUAAAAAAGGACAAGUUCAUAUGGAAUAAGGAAGCCGGGAGGGCUUUUGUGCGGCUCAAAGAGGUGAUGACUACCGCGCCCGUCUUAGCGAUGCCUAACUAUGCCAAGUCUUUCACCAUAGAGGUGGACGCUUGCGGACAUGGGAUCGGCGCGGUACUCACUCAAGACGGGCGACCUAUAGCAUAUAUUAGUAAGGCAAUAUGCCCGAGGAAUAUGGGGCUUUCAACAUAUGAAAGGAAUUCUUAGCCAUAUUGCUCGCGGUGACAAAAUGGAAACAUUACCUAAGUACUAGACCCUUCAUUAUCAAGACGGACCAUGAGAGUCUAAAGUAUUUGUUAGAGCAAAAGAUAAACUCGGCGAUCCAACAAAAAGGGAUGCUUAAAUUAAUUGGAAUGGAUUACGUCAUACAAUAUAAGAAAGGGAGAGAAAACAAGGCGGCAGACGCACUGUUAAGGAGAAAAAUGGAAGAAGGAUACAACCAUGCCGUGACGGCCAUUAUCCCUGCUUGCGUCCAAGAUGUUGUAGGAAGCUAUGAAGAAAAUGCUCAAGUUUAGCAGAUUAUCAAAGAGUUGCUACUAAAUCCCGUAUCACAGCAGGUGCGGAGCAUUAAAAAUUAAAAAUUAAAAAUAAAUAGCUACUAUUAAUUUCUUUCUUUACCUGUUAGAGGAGGAAAAGCGUGCGUGUAAUAACUGAGAUUUUUGAUUUAUUGAUUAAACCCUUUUGUUUGACGAUGUUCUUGUGUGUAAUAUAAUUAUAAGUGUACUCGUCAAAUUUCAGGAGAAAACAAGUUAAAACGGAGAAGUUACGCGACCCGGAAGUCUGACUUAAGUGAAUAGUAACUCCGGUUUUCCGGAGAGGCCGCGGAGUAGAGUGGACUUUCGACGCGUAUCGGACUCCGAAUAUAGCCUUCCAAUAGCUCGUUUUCAACCGCUCGACUAUCCUGAACCCAAUGGCACUGACGGAUUUGGAUUUGGAGGCACGGAUUUCGAGAAAAAGGGGUUUAGUGGGUUUUUGCAUAUAGUUGUCUAUAUGUGGUUUUUGGUGGAACCUAGGAGGGAUGGUUUUGUCGCAAAUCGGNAAUAGUAAAUAAAAGUUAGUUAUCGUAAAGAGUAGUAACCAUCGAGCGCACCAUAUUCCGAUGCUUAAGGUAAAAUUACAGAAAAAGUAGUCAAUCUUUGAAAAGCUUUUUCUCUUCUUCACUUUAUAAUUCUAAAACAAAAGCAGACAGCAAAUGAAGUAAUCAGCAUUCGUACAAACUUGGUGCAUUCAAAACGAUAAACUUUCUUGCAAUUUGCAAUCAUUUGGAAAAUGACAGAGCCACGAAGUCAGGUUCAAAUUUUUCUGAUCUCCAGCGAGUAGGUCUUUGUUUACCACCAUAUUUCCAUUUUCUUUUAGUGUUUUCAUUUCGAUACCCCCAAGGCUGCAGCAACUGACAUAUGACCAGCCAACCUGCCAUGCCAUUUGGAAUGGAAGAAGAAUGUAUGGAGAAACUAACUAUUAACUCAGGCAAAUGUUGCUGUAGGAGAAGCAGGCCCGUCAGGGAGUUCUUCUCAUCAUCACAGCCUUAUAUCACAGGGCAAGGAAAAAGACUAAAACCCAAAACAAAAACAAAGGAAAGCAAAGUGGCAGUAAUGAAUAACCAGGAUAGCCAAAAGCAAACAAUGUAGCAAAGAAUCAAAUGAAACAAUACAUCACAAAUAUUAGGGGACGGAGGACAAGAAAAAAAACUAAAGUCCAAAACAAAAUAAAGGAAAGAAAAAGAAAAAUAGCAAAUAACCAAGAUAGCCGACAGCAAGGUUCAGAUUUGUGGAUCCCCUAAAGCAAAAGGGUAUGAUAACUAUUGUGCGUAUCUCUACAAUAAUAUUCGUAGGCUAUAGCGAUUGCCCCAGGGCCGUUCGUUAUGCCAUGCCAUUAUGAACAGAUUCAGUAAAAUUGUCCAUAUCAUCAUAACCUCGCACGAAAGGGCAGCAAGAGCAACACUAAAUAGGCGAGGAACUUAAAGAAUUCCCCAGCAUCACAAACAUCCAACAUAGUGAAACAAAAUAAUUAUGCAGAUGCAUUCCCACAAACCGGAGCCCAAACAGUAACAAAACAAAAUUAAGAACUUGUGGCUUUUCCUAACGGCAAAUAAAAAAAACUGUAAUAGUUAAAAAAGUGUAUAAAGCAGAAUUCAUGUCAUGCAUCUGAAAUGACCAACAAAUAUAAAAAAGGUAGAGUGAGCAGUAAAUAGCAGGCACAUAUGUGCUUAUUAGCAAUCCCUCUAAAGGAAUCUGGCUUCCUUCCAGAAGAUGAAUUUCCUAAUAAUGAGCCAAAGCUGUUGGUUUCUUCAAUAUUUGGACUGAAGCAACCGUUGCCUGCAUUAAGAAAUAUUCAACUAAUUUAACUUACCUUAAACUUCAAAUAGAGGUCAGAGAAAGAAAAAAGCUAAAAGGCUUUUGACAAUUUCAUGCAUUUCAGACACAAAUAUCAUCUCAUUGCUUAAAUUAAUAGCUAAAAGGCAUCAAUUAUACAUAUUUACUUCUACAUCUACAAUAACAAAAAACGUUAAAAAAAAAAAAUCUAACUUUUUUUAGGUUUCUCAUCAAUUUCUCAACAAAAGGGCAAAACCCACAACAUCAAAUCACAAAACCACAUAAGAAAACACAAAUAUUAGGCGUUUUCGCUGCAUGUAAUUGACUGCAGAUGGAUUUCUCAACCAAAAAAUUCGAAAAAAAUGUAAUGCCGGCGGGAAGAAGUGGGAAAAGAAGGAGAAGAGUAGGGUAGAGGUCAAGAGAUCUGACAGGAUCUAUGUCAGUCAAAGUGGGGGCAUAAGUAAAUAAAAUCUAAGUUAAACGGAGCGGGCACAUGACGAGUGGAGCGGGUAACUAACCGGUGGAACCCAAUUCGCCAACUUAACUAGGCGGAUCAAGGAGCCCAGAUCCACUUGCAGAUUGGGCCCAGAUCAGUCCAUUACUAUUUGCUUACUUGUUUUACAGUUUAAACCUUUAUCUUUCUGUAAUUACAUUUCAGUACGUAAUAGGGGAGGUAUAAGUAGAAUUGUAAUGGAAUUAGAGGACGGCAAUGAAAUAGUAAUAUCUUCUUUCCCAAUUUCUCCUUCUCAUUCUCCUCUCCUUCUCCUCUUUCCCCUUCUCAAUUCCUCAUCUAUCUCCCACUUUAUCUCCUUCUCCAACUUCAAUUCUUCAUCUGAAUGUUAUUGAUUUUACCUUGAUUGCCGCGGCAUCAUUAGUAGUAAUCCCCAUCAUUCCCGUCGCCGUUCUCGCCUCAACGAAUCCUCAUCAUAGGCGGGUUGCAUCAGGUCCAGGAUACUACAAUUUGGUAUCAAAGCGGCGAGAUCCGAGGGAAGGGACAGUGAAUUGCGAGCUAAAUUCCGACCCAAGUGGUUGUUGAAUUGGCAAAGCAAAUAGCAUCCGAGCUAUGGAGCUCCCCUGAGGGUCGAGUUUCAACAAAGGGUGCCACUGUUCCGGCAAUAGUGAGCUUAGAAGUUACCUGCCCACUCGCGAGCCACUGUGGUAAGCCGAAUUGGGGUGAAAGGAUACUGCUUCUGGUCCAAGUCUUUCGUCGAACACCUGGCAUUCAGUCCGUGACAAUAGGUGCAAAGAAGGGAAACCGUUUUAAAUUUCAUAGUAAGAAGCUCCUGGAAGAGGUUGAUAUGGCCGAGGGAACAAGACUGAGAGAGAUGAGCGAGCACAUCAAUGCUCUGGAAGAAAUGAGGCAACAGUUUACAGUAGAGUACAAUAACAAGGUUGAGGAAGAGUUACAGCAAUUCAGUAUGGAUUGUAGUAAGAAGAUUGGGAUCCUUGCACAACAACUCGAUGAGAUACAACAAGACGAGCAGCAACGGUACGAGGCUCUGCAACUUGAAGCAGCUAGGAGAUAUGAAGCGAUGUUGCAAGAGAAUGCUCGGAGGCACGAGCAGUUGCUGCGGUUAUUCAUUGCUCAAGCACAACCAUCUAGCCCACAACCUGAAGACCACUCCACGGCGAGCAAUCCCUUACUGGUGAGCAAGGAAGGGAGACAACCUCUGGGUGCUCAACCCGGGGUAAGUGCAAUUCGAAUGCCAGGGGAGGAUAAAGGGAAAGGGUUGCUGCCCAGUCCCCAUAGGCAAUUGGAGCGAACUGAGGAGCAUCAAGGACGAACAACUCCAUACAUUUCAUACUCAAAACUCGAAUUUCCAAUAUUUAGUGGAGAGGAGCCCAGAGAAUGGAGUAGAAAAUGCGAGAAAUAUUUCUGAAUCUACCAAAUUCCAGAACCGCAGUGGGUAGAAGUGGCAACUACGCAUUUCAUAGGAAGAGCACGUCGCUGGAAGGAAGGUUAUCUCGUAGACAAACCGAACAUCCUGUGGGACGAGUUUGUGGAGGCGGUCUGGAGAAGAUUUGGAGGAUCAGUAGCUCAAAGGAUGGUGAGAGAAUUCAACAAGCUAACACAAACUGGCACUGUAGACAAAUAUCAUGAAAGGAUUGAAGAAUUGAGAGCUCGAAUGCUAUACCUCAAUCCCAGGCUUAGCGAGCAACACUUUAUUGAGAGUUAUAUCAGCGGCUUGAAGGAGGAGCCAGUGCCUUUCAUUGACCUUUCCCACCUAACCACACUCGAGGAAGUGUAUGAACAAGCGAGGUUAAACGAACAAGCAUUGUCUAUUAUUAUGAGAAAGAGUAGGGUCAAUUACCGAACAGCAUGGAAUAUAUAUCAGGGAAACAUUACUCAGAAGAUCGCUGCCCCGGGGGUGGAGAACAAACCUAACUACCAGAAAAGAGGCAACUCACAGCCGGGAAUGGACCGACAACUGUUCGAGCAAAGGAAGGCCGCUAGAUUGUGCUUUAGAUGCGGAGAGAAAUACUACCCCGGGCAUCAGUGCACUAACCGAACCUUGAUUCUCAUAAAUGCAAGCCUUGAGCCAGAUGAGGUGUUCGAUGAACAAAUGAUCACCGCUGAGGAGAGGAAGAGGAAUCGCCCACUGUAGGGCUGGGAGAAAAAGAAACUGGCAUCUCCGUGCAUGCCCUUAGCGGACAAAAUUAGCAUGACACUAUCAAGGUACAAGGUGAAGUGGGAAGUAAGGUAGUUACCAUUCUGAUCGACACCGGGAGUAUACAUAGUUUCAUCGACUUCCAGGUGGCCAAGGAGGUCAAGGUGAGCAUGACAGCAGCAACACCACUUACGGUCACCGUGGCGAAUAGGCACAAGGUAUUAAGCAAACUCAAAUAUGCUAAUUUUAAAUGGACCAUGCAAGGAGAACAAUACCAGUCAGAAUUAAGGGUGACAAGAUUGGAUGGCUCGAGUAUUAUCCUAGGAAUUGAUUGGUUGAAGGCGUACGUGAAAGUCACCUUUGACUAUGAUAACAACUCCAUUUCAUUCACCAAAGAGGGGAAGUAGAUGGUACUCAAAGGCAUAGCAGAAGGAUCAAAAAUGGGGGACGCAAGUGCUGAACUGAAAUUUGUAACCGUGGCCCAAUGGUAUAGAGCCGGAUUGGAAGGGAGGUGUUGUGCAAUAGGACACUAUUACCCAGGGAAGUAAACAGAGGAGGAAGAAGUGAUACCCCCUCUGGUGCGACAGGUGUUAGAGCAAUAUGAAGAUGUAUUUCAGGAGCCAAGAAGACUGCCACCGAAAAAAGACUAGGAUCAUCAGAUUCCCUUGCAGCUCGAGGCUAAACCGGUCAACUUGCGACCCUACAGAUACAUACAUGAGUAGAAGAAUGAAAUCGAACCGCAAAUCAAAGAAAUGCUGCGAAACACAAUCAUCCAGCCUAGCACGAGUCCCUACGCAUCACCGGUAUUGCUUUUGAAAAAGAAGGACAAUAGUUGGAGGUUUUGUGUGGAUUAUAGACAACUCAACAAGGCGACCAUCAAGGAUAAAUAUCCUAUUCCCUCAUUGAUGAUUUACUAGACGAACUAGAAGGCUCGAAGUAUUUUUCUAAAUUUAUCUUAGAUCCGGAUACCACCAGAUAAGAAUGCAUAUAAACAACAUACACAAGACGGCGUUCAAGGCGCACCGCGGCCACUACGAAUUCCUGGUUAUGCCUUUCGGGCUAACCAACGCACCUGCCACAUUCCAAGCCAUCAUGAAUGAAAUAUUCGAGCCCUACUUGCACAAGUUCAUGCUGGUGUUCUUCAAUGAUAUACUUGUGUAUAGCAAGGGAUUAGCGGAGCAUGCAGAUCAUUUAAAGAGAGUGCUGGAGGCACUACAGAAGAACCGCUUGUUUGCGAAAAGAAGUAAAUGCCUCUUAAGGCAAGAACAAGUCGAGUACCUCGGGUAUUUAAUAUUCGGCAAAGGGGUGGCCACCGAUCCCUCCAUGAUCGAGACUAUGAAGAAUUGGCCCACCACUGCGACAAUUAAGGAGUUACUAAGGUUCCUAGGGCUCACGGGGUAUUAUCAACGCUUCAUUAAAGGAUAUGGUGGUAUAAGCAAACCUUUAACCGAGUUGCUAAAAAAGGACAAGUUCAUUUGGAAUAAGGAAGUCGGGAGGGCUUUUGUGCGGCUCAAAGAGGUGAUGACUACCGCGCUCGUCUUAGCGAUGCUUAACUAUGCCAAGUCUUUCACCAUAGAGGUGGACGCUUGCGGACAUGGGAUCGGCGCGGUGCUCACUCAAGACGAGCGACGUAUAGCAUAUAUUAGUAAGGCAAUAUGCCCGAGGAAUCUGGGGCUUUCAAUAUAUGAAAAAAAAUUCUUAGCCAUAUUGCUCGCGGUGACAAAAUGGAAGCAUUACCUAAGUACUAGAACCUUCAUUAUCAAGACGGUCCACGAGAGUCUAAAGUAUUUGUUAGAGUAAAAGAUAACAUUGACGAUCCAACAAAAAGGGAUGCUUAAAUUAAUGGGAAUGGAUUACGUCAUACAAUAUAAGAAAGGAAGAGAAAACAAGGCAGCAGACGCACUGUCAAGGAGAAAAAUGGAAGAAGGACACAACCAUGCCAUGACGGCCAUUAUCCCUGCUUGCGUCCAAGAUGUUGCAGGAAGCUAUGAAGGAAAUGCUCAAGUUUAGCAGAUUAUCAAAGAGUUGCUACUAAAUCCCGGAUCACAGCAAGGUGCGAAGCCUUAAAAAUUAAAAAUUAAAAAUAAAUAGCUAGUAUUAAUUUCUUUCUUUACCUAUUAGAGGAGAAAAAGCGUGCAUUGUAAUAACUAGGAAUUUUUUUUGAUUUUUGAUUUAGAUAAACCUUUUGUUUGACCGAUGUUCUGUGUAGUAUUAUAAUUAUAGUGUACUCGCAAAUUUCAGGAGAAAACAAGUCUAAAACGGAGAAGUUACGGCGACCCGAGAGUCUGACUAAUGAAUAGUAACUUCGGUUUUCCGGAGAGCCGCGGAGUAUAUGACUUCAGACCGUAUACGGACUCCGAAUAUAGCCUUCCAAUAGCUCUUUCAAACGCUGACUAUCUGACCCAAUGGCACUGUGACCGGAUUUUGGAUUGGAGCACGGAUUUCGAGAAAAGGGUUUUAGUGUUUUUGCAUAUAGUUGUUAUAUGUGGUUUUGGUGGAACGAUAGGAGGGAUGUUUUGUUCGAAAUCCGGAAUCUUUCGGUGGCGAAAACGAGGUGCUUAGAUUCGAUGCCUCUGUCGUGCUGUAUCGCGCUGGUGCUAUGAUUCCGAUGGAAAUCUUCGAACCGACGAGAUCUCGGGGAAUCGCGAAAGUCCGCGAAGGGGCUGAUUUGAAUAAUCGGAUUAUCGCGAAAAGGCACUAUAUUAUGCGUCAAUGUCAGUAUUCGAACUAGAGGACUAUCUGCACUUGUGCGAGUCUGCUCUGGUGAGAGCUGGGAUUUAAGGUCGACUCCUUUCGGAGUGGGGUGGGGGUUUCCGCAAGUUUCCAUACUAAUAUAGGUGGAUCAUAAGGGUUUGGGACCUAACCCUAACCUAGAACCGCCAGCGCCUGUCAUCCCAGCACCUCCCUGCCCGCCGCCGGUGCUCGUCGUUCGCGGCCGCCGAAACAGCCUUAGUCCAGGUUUGCCUUCUCUCUUGGACCACCUCACCACCGGCUUAAAAUUUGGUGCUUGGUGAGCGCUUGUUAUCCAAGCAACCACUUUCCUGGUCGAGACCUUCCUCAGGCCGCCCUCUCCCGCCGCCCCGCACGCCCGAGCUCGCGAGCCUGCCGGAAGAGGCUGCAGCCAGGCCGGGUCUGGCCCAGACCUCCGAGCCAGGCCCGACUCAGGUUUGGCGGCCUUGGGACCGCACUUCCCUGCGGCCCAAAGCCCCCUGUCGCACCCCGCUGGCGAUCUCCCUGCAACCCGGCGCGUUGCGUCCCCGCCGGCCCCGCGAUGCUGCGCUCGGCCUCGCGGCUGCAGCCAAGGCUCCCGCCGCCGCUCAGGUCCUGUAGGGCCGACCUUGAGCCGGCGCCACUCCCAAGACGCCGCCAUUACCCCCCUGAGGUGGCACCACCUCCUCCUCCGUCUCCGCCACCGGACAUCGCCCCGGCCGACCUCCCCCGAUCGCCGCCGUCGCUGCCGCAAGCUCCAACCCGAGAGGAAGUCACGGCCCGUUCUCCGCCGCCGCGCCACGGCUGCUGCCGCCGCCGCAGACACCUCCUCCCGGACCUCCCUCGACCUGCUGCUCCCAUCCCCGCGGCGAGUGCCCGCCGUCCGAUCGCCGCGGCCAUCCUAGCUCCACAGCUCCGUGAGUUAGUUACUUUUGGUCCAGCACUCGCUGUUUUGCGUUCACGGUCACUGUCCGUGAUUCCGAUUGACUCCCUGGCACCUCGGAGGUGAGCACGGUGAUCGUGGCUCGUGCUGAACACGGUGAUCGUGGGCUCGUGUUGAAACACGAUGCUCACCUCCAUUAGUAGACGGUGCCUGGUUAAGUGAGAAAAGGAUUUUUUCACAGUAUGCGCACUGAUUCGCUGAGGUUCCGCGUCGCUCGUAGCGCGCGUGGUUCCUGCGGACAGUGCUCCGAAAGGUGAGCACAGCCCAGGCAGCUGAAACCUUGCAGCAAGUGGCAAUGGUAACCUCCACGAUCCCUGGUUUGCUGGUACACCCGUUAAAGCCAUGAAAUCACAUAAAAUAAUGUGAUUUCAUGAGCCAUUAGGGAUCCGUUUGCGUUUCGCUUCGUCGUGGCUGCUGUUGGCAGCAGGUAAAGGCUUAAGAUAACCUCUGGACUGUCGUCCAAGGCCCAAGCCUUUGCGAAAAUCUAUCGGUCAUUUCCGACAUUUUUCGGCGAAAUCCGCCGAUAGAACGCGCGUUCGACUCGGAAUUCAUCCGACGGUGCCUCGUGGUUGACUGUAGCGUCGCUGAGCUUGUGCUGGUCACCCGUCGUCCGAGGUUCAGAACGACGGGUAGCGAUCGGUGGAUGUUCCGGUACGUUUUUUUCGGGACUUCCGGCUGGUUCGGAAGUUGGCGUUUGAAAACCGAUUUCAGUGGGGUUAUGAUUUGGGAUUUGUGUGAGAAUGGUCGGUUAUUGUGUUCGUGGUUAGACUCUAACUCGGUGGACCCUUCGUAGGUCCGCGUCGCUUCGUCUACCCCUUAGCGAGACCAUUUCAGCUUUAUACAGGUGGGUACUUCGAUCCGAAUCGGUACAGCGUGCACUGUGUGGGGCCCUCGGUGAUGUCUUCAUUUACCGCUAUCUUUUACAUCGUCUAUUCAUAUUGUUUACUCAUUACAUAUUGAGCCCUUGCACCAUACUGCUUUUAUUUACUCUGCCCGUUGUCCUAUGCGUAGUAUCUGUAGGGGUAGAGUAGAUGCAUUAGUAUAUACUAACCAUGUGACUGAUUGUCGUUUCCUGUUGCAUCGUGACCUAUUUGGUCGUUCACACUACUUACUGUACUUUGACUAUUCGGUCGAUUCACUUUGUACUGAUGACCUAUACGGUCGUGUCGGCUGGUUGCCGACGGUUGUCAUAUGAGCAUAUCAGCAUCGAUCGUCACCACUCGUUCGCAUUUCACGAACCCACAGCGGUCUGAUCCACCGCAGGGGGUGUUCUUUCCGGAAAAGUGUUGGGUUGCCCACACCGUGAGCUCAGAGGUUACGGCUGGUAUAUGCAGGUUGAGUGAUUGUGGCAUUAGCCUGAGGUCCUCCGGACCAACAAGGCAGUUUAGAUUGGUAUCCUUGGACUAUCCACCAGUUGAUGCAUACAUACAGUAGCAGUAGUUCAUUACUUGUACAUCAGUUCCUUACUUGUACUUUCUGUUCUUAUAUCAAGUAGCUACUGUAGUUGUUUACCUUUACUGUUUCUUAGGCCUCCUUUCGCUGGUGCGUACCCUCGGCCCAUCGUCGCUUGCGACCCACUGGAGGGGAGACAUGUUAACAUGUUCUCAACCCCCCCGCCCCAUUACAGUGAACGUCGCAGGUCCGAGGGGACGGCAUGAGGAGCGAGUCUACGCAGCGUUAGAGCUCCGCCGUCUGUAUCUUUUUUCCUUUGCUGAAUAAAUAGUAAACUUUCAUUACGGUUCAGUUUCAUUCGGUACUUGAAUAUUCAGUUUUCUGCUGGGUUUUCGUGAUAAAAAGAGAUUUAUGGCUUUUCAAGUAAAUGGUUUUCUACCCUCUCGGUAGCGCUUGUUUUAAAAAAGAAAAAGUGUUUCAUAUUCGAUACUGUUUCGAUGGUUUUCUACCUCUCGUGGUGGCGUUUUAAAAGAUAAAGGUUUCUGUGUGGGAAACAAUUUUAAAAAAAGGAGCAUUUCAAUGGAUUUCUGAGACUUAGCAUUUCAAAACUCGUUUCCGAUGUGAAACAUUUCAAAUGAUAGUUCGGAUUUAUGUUUAAAAACUUGGAAUACUGUCGCGUUGUAAUGUUGAAUGUAUGAACGUCUGCAUGUGCAGUUGAGAUUGUGUGUUCAUAUGGUUGUGUUGUAUUCUGGUUGUACUCUGAUUGUUAGCUGUACUUGUGCGACGCGUGCAAAUACAGGGGAGACUCUGUCCGUUGUGAACAGUGGAUUUCCCUGUAAUUGUGGCGGAUCUGACAACCUCUGGGUCAGGUGUUUUUAAAAAAAAAAAAAAAAAAAAAAAAAUUAGUCGUUUCGCUGUCUUCCAAACCGAAAAGGGACCCAGGCGUGACAGUGCGCGCCUCUCCGGCCAUCGCAGGGUGCGGAGCAGUAGGGAAGGGGUAGCAAGGGUACAACGUCGGCGAGAGAUAAGUAAAGCGAGUGCUCGACGGCGGUCGCGACCGUGGUCUGUUUAGAAAACUCAUCUACCAAAUACUAUUGCCAACAAAUAAUAUAUCGAGAACAUAGCAAAAGAUUCAUUUUCAAAUAAAAUUUUGAAACCUUAAUUUCUCAAUUUAGAAAUAGAAAACUAAAUUUUAGAAAAUUUAGAACAUAAAAAUAUCUUCAAGUUCAAAGUACAAACCAGUACUUAAGUUCUAAAUAAAUUUUCCUACGGCUUCAACUUGAAUUUAUUUCCUCUCUGUCUAAUUAAAAUCCUUUCAUUUGGCUUUAACAUCAUUAGGUUGUGAAACCCUGCAUGUAUUUGAAAAUGUACAGUAGUUCAAGUCAAUCUACCAUGUGUUUUUAGGAACAUUAACUAAAUGAGAUUUCAUAAUAAAUAUAGAUAUUUCAAUGCUUUCUUUCAAGACAAACUUUAUAGGAGCUAACAAACAUGCUCCUCAAUGGCCGUUAGGUAAUCCUUGGCUUUAUCACAUUCUGGAAUUGAUCCCCUUAUGCUUUUUGAUACUCUAGACUUUAUGAGCAUCAAACUUAAGCUGUUGGAUCGCUCCUACUUUUCCUGCGCGGAUUCCUGCUGUGGAGUCAUUGGCCCCACUGCCUUAGGCGAUUGCUCAACGCACAGAGCCAAAUCUAAAUCCAUAUAACCCAAAGUAAAAGAAAUAAUUUCUUUUCAAUCAGAAUAAUUGUCCCCAGUAAGCAUAGGAAUACGAGAAACAUCAUUAAGAAAUGCAGUAGAGGAAGAAGCUGCAAAAACAAAGAAAAUAUUGAACUUUAUCGCCUACUAUAAGAUAAUAAUCUUUAGAUUAGAUAAAUUCUACCUUCCUGUGGGCAGAGGUGCUACACGCAUAGAAUUCAUCUACUUUAAUAAUAAGACUAGCAGAAAACUAAUUUCUAAACAACAAGAUUUCUGUACCUGUGGGCAUAGGAAAACUCGCUAUCUAGAAAUUCAAUCCACUAUCUUAUUCCAGUCAACAUUCAGAAAAUUAAUUUAUUUGACUGCAAUAAAUAGUCAAACUUUAAUUCAAUAUCACUAAUAGCUUAUAUAUUUUUCAUUAUCUAUAGGAUGCUGUGGCUACUCCUGAGCAUAAUGAAAAAUACAAAUAACCUUAUUUGACAUUGAAUGACUAUUUAAAAAUAAAUUAGGAAUCCAUAUGAAUUUUCGGGUUAACUUUAAAUCAAUAUCAUCUUAUAAAAAUAUCAUAAGUGAUCAAAUAUCAUGACUAUGAUACUGUGGCUACUCUUAGACAUAAUUAAUCUCGCAUUAACCUUUAUAUGAUAUUGAAUGACCGAAAAUUUCACAUUAUUCCAAAACACAACGGAAAGAUAAAGGUCCAAAGUAAUUUUCUUUACAAUUUUAUGUGACUCAAAAUUUAAAAAAAAAACUGUAUGAAGUCUAUAUUCUCUACUCUUAAAUUUUUAUGAUCACCUUAUAUAUAUUUAGAGUAAUAAUGCAAAAAUAUAUCGUAAGAUAUUAAACUAAACAUACUACUUUAUAUCAUGAAUAAACAAACAAGUAGAACAGAAAUUAUAUAUAACAAAUACCAAAAGUUAUACAUAACUUUAAUAUAUUGACUUCUAGAUAAUCGAGUCACAAAAGAAAAUUAUAAACCGAAAUUAUAAAUAUAUAUAUACAUAUAUAUAUUUAUAUCUUAUCCUUAUUCAUUAAGAAAAAUAAAUAAAUACCCUUUUUGAUUGGACUGCUACCUCAGGCAGCCCCAUGCGAGGCUGCAUUGUACGGUCAACAACAAUGGCCCUUUUGAUUACUUUGACCGCCACCUAGGCAGCUCCAUUACGGACUGCCUAGUGCGGCCCCUUGUGGGCCGCGCCUAUUGCGUCCGGAAGGCGUGGUGGCGCGAGUCUGCCACGCCUCCCGAUCUUCUUUUUUUUUUUAAUGCUACAUGCGGUCCUUGAGAGUCGCCUGACGCAACCGUGAGAGCAGCGCAAUCCGGCCGAAACGCCGAACACCGAUUCUUAUGGUCAAUAAAUCUUGCCGCUAAUUUUUUAUUUUUUUUUAAUCGCUUGAUGCGGCCCGUCCGUGACGUCGUUUCUCCGAACGCCGAUCUCGAUUGAGGCCAGCCGACGUCACCAUUAACGCAAACCAAUCGGUGAAUAUAUUUAUUUAUUUUUCUUUAAUGAAAAGGAAUCUUAAAGAAACGAAAAUCAGGGAAAAGGUUUAGCUCUGAUACCACAUGUUAGAAACUUUAUAAGAAACUAGAUCGUACCUUCUGCCAUGAUUUCGAUUUCUGUACCCGAUUUGUAAGCGGCAAUCCUUAUUCGUGGUUCGUCCUCGUAAAUAAUCUGCAAGAAGACGGGACGUUUCGAGUCUAAUUCCCUUAUCCCCGGAGAUGGAGUCGUCACAAACAAUUAGAUUAGGGGUAGACCGGGACUCCCGUAUGUUACAUAUUUAUAUAUAACUUAAUGUAAGGACUUAAAUAGAUUGACCGUAAGGACUUAAAUCACGUCCGUCCAUCAAAGACGUGUCCAGAUAUAUCCUAACCAUAAGAUCUAAAAUAUCUUUAUAGAUCGACUUAAAUAGAUUGACCGUAUCUCUAUGGAUCGCCUUGAAUAUAUCACGUGGGCCACAACCAACAUGGUCGAGAUGAGCGCGGCGGACGAGGUGAGUGUAGCGGCAUCGGCGGCGGCCGAGGUGAGUGCGGCGGCGUCGGCGGCGGCCGAAGUGAGUGCGGCGGAGGAGGUGGCGGCCAAGGUGAGUGUGGAGGCGAUAAGGAAAGGUAAACCCUACUUUUUGGGGUUGUGGAGAGGGUGGAGAUUGGAGAGAAAGGAGACUAUGAGAAAGAUGGAAAAAAAAAAAAGGUGGGUUAUGUGAGUGGAGAAGCAGCCCGAAAAGUGGAGUUUUAUUUUUAAGAGAAAAUUUUGAAUUUCAUUUUUAUCCUAUUUUUUGUGGUAUAGUUAAGAUAGUUAUACCCUAUUUUAUUGGUAUGUUUUUAAACCAUCUAUACACUAUUUAGAAAAAUUUUCCUACCAGUAUAGUUGCUAAAAAAUAAUAAUAAUAAUAAUAAUAAUAAUAAUAAUAAUAAUAAAGUAAGCAUCUAAACAGCCGUAACCGGGUCGACCGCAACCCCCCUUCACGAAGGCCGUCGCCAACUUCUCCGCCCUCGACUACUUCCGCUUCUCCACCAUCACCGCCGUCUCCGUCACCGGCGGUUACCUCUCAGGUUCCCCCCCUCUCCUCCUCCUCCGCACCCUUCGCAUCCGCAUUAGGAUUAGGGUUAGGGUUAGGGUUAGGGUUUCUAAUUGGGUUUUGGAUUGGGGGAUGGCGCAGGGAUCAAGCCGAGCAUCCGAGGGCCGUCCAUGGUGAGUGGGGUACUGAUAGGGAUCAUGGGCGGGUUCAUGUACGCGUACCAGAACUCGGCGGGUCGGCUCACGGGCUUCUUCCCCAACGACGCCGAGGUCGCCCGCUACAGGAAGAAGUAGAGCGCCCCGUCGUCGUCGCCGCCGCCGCCGCCAACACCUGUAAUUUCCUCAAUUUCCUCGCGCUCUUUCGAUUCGGCUUGAAUAAAAUGUGAACUCAGGCUUCUUUGAUCCGUCGCGGGGUGUUUGUUGCUGAAUUUUGUAAUGGUGCUGAUUUGGGGAUGUUUGAUCAGAGUGAGCUCUGAUUUGUUUGUGACCGGCUUUUGGAUUAGCAUAUCCUCAUUUAUCUCACAGUUACUUCCUCAAAUCUUUCACUUUAAGUUUUGAUUUCAUAUGUAAUGCAGUAAAAAAUCUUAAGAUUUAUAGUUUAUUGUGCUUGAGGAACAUAAGGGUUUAAGGUGGAUGAGGCAACAGAUGCAAGAGAUCAUAUUUUGGUGAUCUUUUGCGAUUCAUGAGUCUGUAAAAUCCUUAAAAUAAGUUACAAAACUGUAAAGUUGAAAUAACCUACUCUUUUGGAUUUGGGUAGGAAAUAUAUAUCUUAUCUGCAUAAUGGUGUAGAAACUCAUUGAGUUUGGUUGAAGUUUUCUAUCUCCAUGAUUACGCAAUUCUAUUUCUACUAAUUUCACUCUCUUCGCAGACAAAAAAUCAAGCAGAAUAAAUCCUUGUUUUCAGCUUAUCCCCAGAGCAGAAACCUCUGACUAGACUUUGUUUAGCAUCUACUUUCUUUUGUGGUUCUUGAUUUGUUGCUAUUGUUUUGCUCGAGAUUAGCUGAGUACAAAAGUAUCUGCAGCUUCAAAAAAUUGAAAAAUUGUGUUCCUUUAAGCUUUGGUAAUGAAUGAUUUGGAAGAUCUUUAUCAAGGAAACAUUGAUGUUUUGGUUCAAAGAAAUUAAGAUUUUUUAUUGGAAAUGUAUUGUUAGAUGGAUAAGCCUUGGAAUGUUUUCUAUCUUAGGUAUCUCAAUUAGCGUAUCCAUUUCUAUUUGACCUCUCUUUCCUCAUAGAAAACUAAGGGUCCAUCCUUCAUACCUUUCCAGUUACAUGGGAAAUUAACAACUCUUUGACAAUUGAAAGUAUCGAGUUGUAAUAUUACUAGGAACAACUUUAACAUUAUAACUAAUGCAUAUGAUUCUGCUCUUUGAGCAUUAGUUGAACGAUUGGAUAGAAGCAAAUCACUGUGUGGUUGAAAACUUAUUCACUUGAGCACAAGCAACAAAGAGGCAUCUUUAGAGAUAAAAGCAGUAUGGUCAUUUGGUCGUAUAUUGUUUAUGAUUAUUGUCUGCCAUAGAGUACCUUAGCGAAGGCAUCUUUAGGCAUUGAUCAGGGUACGUUUGCUUCGUUUGUUUGGAAACUUACACAAAAUAGAAAAAAAGAAGAAAAGAAUUUAAGGGGGAAAGAAAAGUGGUCUUACCUCAGAGCACAAAAGAAAAUAAGUGUAAAUCCUACAUCUCACUCAUCCAAUGGGUGGAUUUUCUCCACUAAUCACCUCCAUGCGACAGGUGAAAACACCUCAUCCAUUAGAUGGAUGGGGCAUAAGUUAUACAACUACAAAAUGGAGUGUAUAGGUAGCAUUAUUUAUAAAAUAUUUUGUGGAGGCUAAAUGUAAAAAAAAAAAAGAAAAAAAGAAAGUAUUUUGGUUGGGUAAAUUACAUAGAAAGUAUCUAACCUUUUACCCAAGUUUUAAUUUGUAUCCCCAACCAUCUAAUUAUUAUACCUUUUACCCAAGUUUUAAUUGUGUCGCCAACCUUCUAAUUAUUAUAAUUAGAUACUUAAUCUCUUCAAGUUAUCUAGAUUAGGCCUGGUCUUGUUGCAAACUCCGUUAAGUGGGGUAAGUUAAAUGAUUUCAUUUUUUUUUUUUAAAUUCGCGAGAUCAAACCAAACUAUAUCACUAAAUAAAUCAUACUGCGUCAAUCAAAAUAAGUCAUCCUCCGUCCUCAACGUAAAUGGCAAAGAACUUAAUAGUUGGUACCCGAGGUACCAAAUUUGAAGUCUUGUUGCAUAUUUUUAGUUAAGUCCAUUUUUAAUAAAAAAUAUGAACGAAGCGGAUGACAUGCUACCAUUCUCUCCCAAAAAAAAGAAAAAAAAGUCUGCACAAUUCGAGCGAGUUACAUUUUUCAAUAUUUUUUGGAUUAAUUUCAUACAGUUCCCUGUAAACAUAUCAAAUUGCAAAUAUAUUCCUACAAAGUUCAACUUUUCAUAUUUAUCCUUACAAAAGUCCAAUGAUAUUCAUAUUUAUCCCUCUGGUUUGUUACCGUUAGAGUAUUUACUAUUUAUUUUUUAAAAGAAAAUAAGUGAAAUGACAUUUUUGCCAUUACAAAUAUGUCUCUCCAAAAGCUUCAAUUGUUAGAAUUAUGCAGAAAUGUUCUCCCAAAAAUUUUCAACAGUCAUUUUCUUUCUUUCUAUGAUCACAAAUAAUAUAAGAGCGGUAGAAAGGUCAAUUUACCUCAUUUACUAAUUAGGGUUAAGUAUUUUACUUAUAGUUAACUAUAUUUUUCUAGUGGAUCCUAACAGCAUGGGUAUACGUGAAAACGUUAGGAUAUUUGUAGGAAUAAAUAUGAAAAGCUAAACUUUGUAGGAAUAUAUCUGUUAUUCGAUAUAUUUACAGGGAGCUGUAUGUAAUUUAUCGUUUUUUUUUACCAGUUACUACUUGAUUCGGGCUGGCAGGAGCUCCACCAAUCCAAAUCCGUUUGCAUCCCUACUUGUCCCCCAACUCGAGUCCCCCUUCCUCUGCGGCCCCCAGACCCAACCUAACCCAUCGCCUUUCCAUGGCCGGAGAGGAGCCGCCAUUCUUUCCUCCACCGACUGGUAACAACCCUCUCGUUUUUUUUUUUAUUUAUCAUUGGUUGUUUUAAUCAUAUGGUUCAGUGAAAUUGGAAUCAUUUGUUUUGUAAAGUCGAAUUAGUUUCGACUUUGCUUGUAUGGUAUUUCUCACACAAAGCAUUUCUCUUACAUGACUACAUCUUUGAAUGGUGAAAAGCAAAAUUGAUUGGUAGAGAUUUUGUUAAUACUCUUCACCUAUUGUUUUAGUUUUCGAAUUUGGAGCUAUCUAGUAGCUCGUUUUUUAAAAUUUGAACUCUCUAGCGGCUAAUUUUUUAAGAUUGUCCGAAAUUCUAUGUGUUGGAAUAAGAAUGUGGUAGAAACUUACAAACUGGAUAACCAACGUAUUCAGAAACUGAAAUCGGAUUGGGUUGCUUAUUUUGUUAACAUUUUUAGAUCGUUCUUGUCUUGAAAUUGUACAGGGUGUAUUCAAAUAGCUUAAAAAUAAAGUCGUGAAAUCCUGCAGAGUUACAUAAUUUUCUACUUUAUCAUAACUUAGACCAUAGAUAUAAACUCCAUGAAUUUUUUUUUAAAAUUGUCGCUCCAGGGAUUUAUUUAUUUAUUUAUUUAUUUUGUGCUCCAACUCCUUGCUUCCUUUUCCUUUUUUCAUCAUCUUCUUUGUCCCGAAUCCCCCUCUCUCUCUAAAACUCUCUCUAUCUCUAUGAUAAUGCGGAAUCCGAACCUCUCAACAGCUUCGAUGGUGGUAUUGGACUUGUUUCCUCAUCAUCCUCAUCAAGCUCCCUUUACGAGCCCUUAAGAAUCUCCAUGAGAUCAUCCUAUUAACAAUGUCUCUCUCUCAUAUUUCAGAUGCUACAGUAUCAGAUGCUGAUAUGGAGAGGAAGAUCCUUUUUGAUUCAACGGCGAAGGUUUCCAGCAUCUUCAUGGAUUUCAUGAUCAAGUAAGUCACUCACACACUACUUUUUUCUUUUCUUUUUCUUUUUAUUUUCUUUUUUGUAAUGCACAUCUGAAUCCUGCAUUUCAUUGUGAGAAACCAGUGAUUGCAUUUAGUUUUUGAUGCCCAUCAAUGGAUGCUGAAUAUAAAAUAUUGAAAUCACUGUCAUCUAAUAGCUUAAGCAUUUGGAGUAAUUCGUAUAGUCGUAUGGUAUUAGAGCAAGAGGUCCUCAGUUCGAAUACCACCAAGCUCCUAGUUUCAUUUAAUUUUCUAUCAUUUAAUUUAAGUUUACGUCUUAGGUCGUUCAGAAAGUCCUAAGUUCAAGGGUGUGGGGGAAUGUGGAACAUCAGUUAUCAGAAUACCGUUCUGUAACAAUUUAAGCUUUUGGAGUAAUUGUGAUGUAGUAUGGAACGAAAACAGCUAGUAGAUAAUCGAAUUUAGGCUAACAGGGACUAUGAAUAAAGAUGGAACCGUUAGGGUUUUAAGAAAACCACUAGUUUCUUAGAUAUAUUGAAAAGAUCAUCCAAAACAACCAUUAUCUGAUUUGCAUCCCUUUUAUAUUAGGGUUACAAGGUGCUCUUCAAAUCCAGUCCUUGAUUAUGACUUAUUGGCUAACUUUAAACUCUAACUGUCAAAAUAUAAUAAUAAGUCGCAUGCUAGUCACAUGACAACUAACUAAAUAAAAUAAAUAAAACAAUCGAAAAGUAAAACAUAAUAUUAAAGCUCCUGUAUCAAAUUGGUUAUUUUCUUGUGGUGUCUUAGCAGCUCCUGAAUUCGAAUCCCACCAAGCUCUUAAUUUCAUUUAUAUGUCCUCGUUUUUAAUUUUAGCACACGAAUUGAGUCUAUUGUAAGGUCUUAAGCUCGGACAUGAGGGGAGUGUUGGAUAUAAAAUAUUAAAUGCCAUUUUUCUUCAUUACCUUAUAACUUCAUAUUGGACUGUGCUAGGGGAGUGCUAAUGAUAGACUUUAAUCUACACUGUGUGGUGUUCAGCUAAGAAGUAUUUGCAUGCUUCAUGGUCGUUUGAUGGUUUGAGUAGAUUUCCUUUCACGAGUAUUUUCUUUAUUCAUGGCUCACGGAACUCAUCUAAAAUGUGGUGCAUAUUGAAAUGGGUACCUAAACUUUGAAAGUUUUGAUUUUACUAUCUAAUAGUUUUUUUUUUUGAAUAAAUACUCAAAUUUUAAAGUAUUUGCUUUUUUAAUUAAUAUCACAGAACAUUCCAUAAUAUAAGAGAUUAUUCUGUUACUUGACGGUAUAUUCAUCAAAAGACAUAUGGAUACUGCAAGAUUAGAUACAGACACCUGUUUUGAAAAUCUUGUAAGGUUCAGUGGUAAAAUAAAAAUAUUUAAAGUUCAGGUACCUAUUGUAAAUGCGCUAUCAUUAUGGUAAGUUCUGCUGGGAGACUAUUUCUUUUCUUCAUGAUUGUUAACUUUCUCUCAAUUGAUGGUGGAGAUUUCAGGUUAUAUCUGAUGCUAUUUUGUGCAUCUUUACUGUAUUUGCUAUUUAUUUCUGUGCAAUUAAUCAUGGUUCUCAUUCUUGAACCUUGAAAUAAUCAAGAACAAACGCUUUAUAGGGUUGCAAAGUUUGAGGAGCUAGUUGAUGUGGCAAAGCAGUUUCUUAUGAGAUUGCAUCAAGAGAUAGGUGAUUGUCCCUUUUUACUUCUCAUUGGAAAGCCAUUGAACUAAUAGUUGCAAAGUAUUGUUCCAAAACCUAAUAGAUGAUUGUCAUUUCUCUGUUCAGCACAGGUCAUGUAAAAACUUAAAUACAAGGAAAUGGUAUUUACUGUUGUCUAGUCUCUUUAAUCUUAUGCUGAUGUGUUCAUAACCCGAUAAUAUUUUCCUUCCUCACAGAAUACUUCAGAAGGCCGAAACUUGAUGGUACAUCAAAGAUUGUCGAUGAGAUAAUUAGAUCGAACUUCACUGAGAAAAUGAAGGCAUAUGUGGAAGCUGGGUGCAAUCACUCCUUUCAAAAUAUUCAAAAUAUCAGUCAGAGUAAGUCAUUGUAGUUUCAAAUAAAUGACAAAAUUAAUUAAUAGAGUACACCCUCAAUAAGAUCAAACUCAGAGGUUAACCUUUAAGGUGCUAAAUUGUUUGGUAGCUCAUUGUAUGCAAAAGCUAUUAAGAUAAGCAAAUGGGAGCUUUGGAUAAGCAACGAUUGAUUAGUCCUAGGUGAUAAGCUUGGGCUAGCCUUCUUUUGAGUCAACAAAUAACCAUCAAGUAAUUUAGAUGAGAAAUUUUGUCGUCUUGUACUUUUUGCCAAGUUAUUUGCCCUACUUUCCUACUUUGUAAAUCUGCUGUUUUCUAUCUGAUACUAUUCAUUUAUUGCCCUUUAUUUAGCUUAAGGAAUUUUUUAUUUCUUGCACCUCCUAUCCACUAACAAUCUAUUUUUGGACGCUGAGGAUUCCCUUGCCAUAAGCCUUCGUAGGUGGAAUAAUGAAUUCCUUGCUAAAAUAUCUUCACUUUGUUUAUUCUGCCAAAUAAGGAUUUCACAUCUUUCUUGCUGAAAAAUGUCUUUCUUGCCAAAAUUUCUGUGUUUUGCUUUUGAUUCACUUAUAUUGACGUUUCUCCCUUGAUAGAUAAUGGUUAUAUCCAAGUAGUAACUUCUCUUGUUAGAAUGGAAUGGUAAUAAGAGAAAAAUAUCUUUAUUUUUGGUUUGAGUUGCUUUCUUAUAGCUUAUUUUCCUCUGUUGACAUGAAAAUUCUUGUUGAAGUUCAAUCUUGCGAAGAAGGCCUCCGAGACCAUUUAAAGAAAGGUGCCUUUCAUCUCCUCUUAUUUCAUAUGAUAUUUGCCAUUUACUUACUAUUUUAUAUUUCUUAGAAUCAACAUCAUUUUAAAAGUUGAUCUGAAUUUCCCUAUAUUUAAAUCUUUUAAGCGUAUCGGCUAAUUGAUUGCAUAUUCAGUUAAGCACAAGAGUCGAAUUGGCUUAAUAUUAAGAAUGCGUACAAUGCUAUGUUGAUUAGUCCUUUUAAUGUGAUUCUUGUCCACGGAAAUAACAUAGAAGUUGCAUUGACUUAAGUUUUGCGUGUUCUCACUCAACAAAGAGUUUAAUUUGUAGUGUCAUUGUGAACGAUUAGAUAUACAUGCAAGGAAUUGAAAGAGGCACUUUUUUUUAAGAGAGAGAAAGGUAGCACGCUACCCGCUUCUUUCAUUUUUUUUUAGAAAUGAACUCUAUUAGAAAUGUGAAGCAACUAGGCUUCAAAUUUGGGACCUCUAGUAGCAACCUUCAAGUCCUAAGCCAACUGCGUUAGGUACGGUCGAUGAAUUGAAAGAGGAUUUUAAGUUCUUAAUCGGAUAAAUCACUGUUUCGUAACAUUCUGCCUUGGACUUUUAAACAUUUAUGUAAUAAGCAAGCACUGUUUAUAGUCAUCCUCUGGAUUUAUGAAGUAUAUACCCUGCUAUCUGAAUAUGUAUACAUGAAUCUUCUUACCACGAGCCAUGCAAAAGAGAUAAUCAAUGUUUGCUCUGUUUGCUUUCAAAAGUGUCAGGAACUUAUGUCCAAUUUGAUCUUAGGAUUGGAAUUUUUGUGGAACAAAGGAAGAGGUAAAUUGGAAAGGAAAACAUAAUGGUCUGUAUAUUGCUAAACAUUGUAUAAUCAUACUUGUGCAGAAUUAGAAGAAAUUACUGUAGUCAUGUUUUUACACAUUUAAUUGGAAUUAAAAUCAUUCUUCUUUCUUUCUUUCUUUCUUUCUUUCUUUCUUGUCUAGAAUUUAUUUUUCUUUGUUUUUUUCUUUUUUGGCAUGUCUAGAUGAGCUUUUUGGGCACUUAUCUUUUUGACUGAUCUCAUCAUUUUUAAUGUAAUUGAAACUGCAAUAUUUCAUUAUUUUUCUGUUUGGAUGAAGCAUUAAUCACGUAGAUCCAAUCCAGUAAUUCGCAGGAAACAUGAAAAACUUCUGUUUCAUUAUGGUUGAAACUUUCUCUCUGUUUUUCUCUCUUUCUCUGGCUUGUCCGCCCUUUCUUUCACCUAUUACAUGGCACAGCGUCAGAUUCAUGCACAGAGUGCUUUUCUAUUUUGUACUUAGUAGCUAUAUAUAUUCUAUCAAUUUCUCAGCGAAAACUCUGCUCGAUGAAGUCGAAUGCCUCGCCAAGGAUGCAUAUGGUAUUACACAAGCAACGAAUCAAAGCACCUCUAAAUUUUUUGAGAACGAUGAUUGCAACAGCUUGAUAGAUGAUGUUCUUCCUACUGAGGUACGCCCAGUUAACAGCAACUUCUCUAAUUAAUUAUUCUUUGUAACUUCGGUUGUGAUAACCAUCCAAAUAGGUACUUGGUCUGUGCUGAAGGCGACAAAGUCACUAACUAAUCAUAAAUAGACUUGCUAUAUUGUCCUAGCAGUUGCUAUGAGUUAAGAUAAAAGUUUUGUUAUAAAAGUUUUGUUGUAAACUUCGGUAACUAAUGAUUAACGGUCAUAUAUUCAAGUAACUUAAAAAAGCUUUUUAUCACUUAUAUUUGGUUGUGUGUGUUUAUUUUUUGUGUAUAUUAUCUUCGCGUUUUGUUCUAACUUUCGUCGGGAUUCAAGAGUAUUACGAAGUAUAAUGACAAAAUCACAUCUUUUAUACUCUUAAUUGACUUCACAGAGUUGUCUGCAUUGUUCUAAUACUCUUUUUAUUGCCUUUUUGUAUUUUCUAUUAUAGCAGGAUGAAACUCGGCCUUUACAUCUUCAAGACAAUUUAAUUUUAUAUGUUACUACAAUGAUGGUUAUCUACGGCAUGUUGAAGCUUGACUAUGCCAUGCAGGUAAACAUGGAUUUAUAAUUCUAUCCUUCAACAUUUCCAUUUCACCUAUUUAAGAACAAAAACCCAAUCGAAAUUUGCAACUCUAUAUAUAUAUAUAUAUAUAUAUAUAUAUAUAUGCUGCAGGAGAAAAUCGUUCAAUCUCUGAAUCUUAAGACAUCAUCAUCGGAGCUUGAGAGCUAUUGUCUUAUGUGGGAUUUGCGCCCCUAUAUAAACGACAGCGUUAUGCAUCGAGCUUGGAAGUACGUUCCGUGAUGUGCCGCACUGGAUUAAGAAGCUUUUGGUGUUAAGAAGAAGCCCAUCGGCUGUGGCUUCUAGAAUUGCUUCGCUACUCUGGAAAGCACUUCUGUGACAUCCGGUCGUUGAGAAGGUUUGGAGCCUUAAAAGUUGAAAUGAGUAACACUGCCACAAUAUCGGAGGCUCCUAUUUGAAACUUUUGUUGGUAGAUGAAAAAAGCUGGUCGUGUCAUGCUUCUCUGAAGAGCUCUACUUCGAACAACAUUUCUGUAAUGUACAAGAAAGAGUAAAAUGGAAUUUCUCAAAAGAUGGUAUAUAUGUUUGGCUGCGCUCAUUGGCUGUAAAGAUGUUGCAAUUUUUUCGCAAGUUGUUUUGAGUUAAUAUUCAGGGGAAAAGAUUUCGAGUUUUUUAUAUUGUGAGAGUAGAUCUCGGCCCUUUUGAUUUUACUAAACGGGCUUUUAUCAGAGGAAUAUAAUGUGGCAAGAAUAAAACAUUUUAUUAAUCCUUUAAAAUAUCGGAUUUGAAAAGCUACCUCCGCUAUUGGUUAUUUUUUUGCCAAAAAAAAUUUAAUCUUAAAAGAUUAAUAUAUUCUUUUGCAAAUCUUAUGUAUUCCAAAAUUUUUAAUUGAGUGCAAAAGACAAAUAAAGUUUCGAAUUUCCUAAAUUUAGUAAUAUUUAAAUAGAAUUUAUAUAUUUAACUAGUUUGCUUUUUUAUGAUUAAUUUAGUGUGAAAUAAUAUAUGUAAUAUUAAUCAAAAGGGUAUUGCAGUAAUUUUGUUGAUAUAGUUGAGUAAUUUCUAUGUUGAAUCAAACGCAAAGAUAAUAUAUUUCCGAGUAUUCUAAUAUAUGUACGAAACAAAAACAUUCACACAAGACAGGAAUUCAAUUAUGAAAAUAGAUUUUUUAAAAAAGUAAAUUCUCAAUGAAAAAUUUAAAUCCUGUGAACCAAAUAGAUCAUUUUUGUCGAAUUACUUUUUCUAGCAGUUAUAAUUAUAACUAUCUUAAAUUUUUUUAGUUGAAUGAUGAAACAUAGCAAUUAAGGCCUACAUCCUUGUGUCAUUGUAUCUCAAUUUGCUCUACCAGAGAAAAGUUGCAGCCACUAUUAUCUCAACUGCUCUUUGAUGUUAAAAUAUGCGCACGUUAUUCUCACAAUUUGCAAAUCAAAAUAAUUCUUGAACUCAACUGUUAAACUUUACUGGAGCAUAGAAUCCAUCUUGCGUGCUUUCAAAAGCACAUGAAUGAUGCCUACUAUUACUUUUUAGCUCUUGGAUCUACAGUAGUAUUAUCACCGAAAUAGGAAAACUUAGACAUUCAUCAAGGGUUGAGGAGUUAGAAGCAAACACUGUUCAUGUGUUUCUAAAGAGUAUUCACCUGCACUGCCAGAGCAAAUUUGCUGAUGACCUUGAUUAUUUAUGACAAACUAAAAUUGUCUGAGCAGAAUUAAUUGUCUUAAAAUUAACAAUUCUGAUGCCUUUAGCUGACAAAAGAGAAAGAAGAAAAGAGACCUUGACUUUUCGAUGCAAUUGGGCUUAUGAUUGCAAUAAACCACGAGCUCAAGUAAGCUUCCCUUCCUCGCUGAAAAUAGAAACAAUUUACUUGUCGCCCUCUUGAAUCCUGCAGAGUUCAAAUCCAAAAGAAAAGAAGUUAACGUAAAAUUAUGAUGUUUUAAUAAGGAAAAGCCAUAGAUUAAACAACAUUCAAUUAUUAGAAAAGUAGUCUGCAAGGCCCUUCCAACAGCAGUUAUCCGAUACAACACAUCUGUAGUCUGGAGACCCCAAAAUCAGUGCCUCAGAUCAGGGGUGGAGGGGUGGGGGAAGAAAGGAAUCAAAUUAGUCCACUGCAUUAUGCAUAUAGGUAGCGCAUACAAAAUACAAAUGAAAAAUAUCCGGCGAUUACAUUAUGAAGUUAAACGAAGAUUACAUUAUGAAGUUAAACGAAGAGCAUCGAUCAGUAAAAUGGAAUUCUCCCUGGAUUGACCGACUCUCCACACUCUAAAAUCGUCGUCGAAGAAACCGUUCUCUCUCCAGCGACGUAGCGAGAUCAAUGGAAAAGGUCCUUGUACAAAUCCGCGAGGAUCGACAUAGUGCCAUAUGAAAUCACUCGCAGAAAAUACUUCUCUUGGCGAUCUCUCGCCUUGUUCGGCAGUAUUCGCGCAUUCGUCAUCCCCGUCAAGAUCGAUAAUACUUUGUGUUUUGCCGUGUUCCUUACUGCUCUGGUCUUCUUUGUGUUCGUGGAUCCUAGUGACAUUCUUCUCUUCGAGUUUUCCAGAAUCGUGCAGCAAGCUUCCUGCCAAAAACAAAUCAACAAGUACAUAAAAUUGAAAGAAAUUCAAAUAAACAAAAGUUGAAAAAACAGUAUGCUGAAAUACUUUGAUCAGUAAGUUGUGCUUCUCCAUUGGUGUUGCAAGUCCGCUCGUCUUUGUGUUCACGGACUAAGGUAGAGUGAUCUUUGACGCCGUUCUGCGCGAAUUCCGUAGAGUCACAUCGUUGGCCUUCUGGGAAAAUAAAAAAGAAAGGAAGGAGAAGAAAAGGGGUGAGAUCACAGGUAGUGUAAAAACUUAGAUCCCCACACAAAGAACUGUAAUUAAUUCAACGGAUAUUUAUUUUUCAGAAGAGAGACCAUUUCUAGAAGAGACAUCAGGUGCUUUGUGCUUGAAGUACAAAUUUUUGUUUCCAUGUGAGAAGUUUUUUGAUGCUACAAACUAGGCUUUGCAAUAUGUUCAUAGUUCUGGAAAGGAAGAAGAUAAAUGAAAAGGUUAAUUUGCCAUUAAUGGUUCAAACUACAAGUUGAUUGAAACAAAACAACAAAGUUCAAACAUGUGUGUGUGUGUGUGUGUGUGUGUGUGUGUGUGUGUGUGUUUGUGAGAGAGAGAGAGAGAGAGAAAGAGAGAGAGAUUCUGAUUUAUGGAUUUGUCUUAGCAUAUGAUGAUAAUUGAGCAACUUGGUAAAAUAAAUGGCACAUAAGAUUCAUCAACUUAGCCGUAGAUAGGUGGAGAAAGGCUUAAUUAUCAUGGUCUGGAAGGUCUCCCUAAUCUCAAAUACUCCCGGGCAAAAUCCAACAUAGCCUCACAUCUCCAAAGCGUAAUCCUAAUACUUUUGCAGUUCAAAUAAAAUGUAUGCUGAAGUAAUAAGUAAAAGAAACAAAAAAAAUAAGAAGAGAAUAUUUUGUGGCUACUAGAACGGUUUACUGGACAAAAGUAACUACGCAGAAACGUAACCAAACAUCUUUGACUAAGGAAAUUAAAUGCUUGUCUAGUUCUCGAAUAACUGAGGAAUAAUAAGCGGCAGAUCAAAUGGUAGAAGAAAAGAAAUAUAUAUCUAAGUCUGCUAAAAGCUCAAAAAUAAAAAACAAUGCAGCUUUAUAAAUAAUAAAUAGAGGGCAAACAGCCAUAUUAACUGACAGGAUAUAAAAUUUUGCAAACCUUCGUGUUUUUCUGCGGCACCAUUUUCUUGAAGAGAAACUCCACUCCCUGGUAAAACAGCCAACAUGGCACAACAGUUUAGCCAAAUGCAGUUAGUCUUCUGUCUACAAUAAUGACAGCAAAACUUCCAUAAAUGAAAUUAAUAUCAAAUUCUAAUUCUACUUUUUCAGGGCAAGUUGCAAUGUAACCCAACGAGAGCACAUUGAAUUAAGAACUCAUCAUAACUCACAUAUAAUCAAAGGAUCUAUGAUGUUUAGCCAGAAUAUGCUGCAUAUGAUUUUCCAAGAACGUCAACGGAAUAAAUUACAUCAAAUUUCUGUAAAAGUAAUCAGGUGCAUUGCACGGAAUUGUUUGUAGAAAACUUGGGUUUAUAAAUUCAGAAGAACAAAUAAAACAAACCCCAAGAACUUAGACAAACAAGUUAAAGGGGAUUUCCUGAAAGAAUAUGGUUUUGAACAGCUUAAUAUACAAAAUUUCAUAUGAUCUCAAUUGUAUGAUCAUAUUUAUUGAGAACCGAAGGUGCAAAACGUUUGGCGACCCUCUCACUUAUAGGCCAUUCUGAAAUGGCCCCCUGAACUCUUAACUUUUCGGAUUGACGCCCAUCAACUUUUUAUUUUAUUUUAUUUUUCAAUUUGACUGAUUUUUAUCAACAAAAUUGGGGAUUUUAUCAAAUUCGUGAAUGAUUUAAUCAAAUUUAAUGGUUUUGAUCACUUUUUAACGAUUAACAACUAAAAGCUAAUAGAGCACAUAAAUUGAAAAAAAUCAACUUAACUAACUAGAAAAUCUCAAACCAAAAAGAAAAAAAAAAUCUGAAAGUUAAACAGGGUAUCAAUCUAAAAAAUUAAAGUUGAAGGGGCCACUUCUGAAUGGCCUAAAGGGGUGGUCACCACACAGUUUUAUCAAAAUUGAAUAUAAUGAUAAAACGGUACGAAAAUGAUAAAAGAAGAGCUAACGAAACCUUUAUCUUCUCCAUGAGAAUUUUCUACUAAGCCGGUAGUAUCUUUUGUAUCUUCCUCGUCCACAAUGACUGGUGGAAUCUCUUUAAAGAGACGUUGUCUCUCAGCUGGUGUUCUAAGUAGCUCUCUCUUAUCAAUGUACUCGUAUAGCUUGAAAUUCAAUAGGGUCAAGGUUUAAAAAUGCAGAAAGUAGCACUGAAGUCAGUGUUAGGUUAGUGUAGCAAUUCAUAAGUUCGGGAAAUGGUAGAUUUGAAAUUACAUAACAUGUUGAAUAUGUGUAUUCAAUGUGAAAUAUGAAGGAUAUUCUCUGCGCCAACCCUUCUCAUUUGCUCGAUCUAUCAGUCUAUCUAACUUCAGAAGUUCUCUAUCAAUCCACUGGAAAAAAGAAAAUUGGGAACUUAGUUAACCACCAAUAUAAAAAAAGCAAAUUAGGAAAGGAACAAAUUAAUGGACUUAGAUCUAUUAUUUAAAGAACCACAAAAAAAGGGUACUGUCAUUUGAAAAAACUCUAUUGGAGUGCAAUUUCUUGCAUAAAAGACUUCUAAUACCCACCCUUCAACAAAACGAUCUAUUAAUUACAUGGUGUAGGAGAACCACAAAAAAAGGAUACUGUCAUUUGAAAAAACUCUAUUGGAGUGCAAUUUCUUGCAUAAAAGACUUCUAAUACCCACCCUUCAACAAAAUGAUCUAUUAAUUACAUGGUGUCCUACACGCUACUAUAUAAAUGAGUUCUUCGCCAACACACUUACAUGAUUAGUUAUAUCAUCGUGUACACUUCUCACUUUUUCCUCAAACUCUGCCUGGCAAAUGGAGAACGUUAUAACAUUAACACAUGUAUCUGCCACAUAAGAUAGAUAUAUGAUAAACUGGAAAUCAGGUAUUUAAGCUAGGAAAGAAAGAAAUAAGCGGCUGAACCCUAUUGCAUAAAGAAAAGAAAACAAAUUAAGGAUGUAAUAAAAAUUGUGAUUAUGUAUAUAUUGUAUAACCUAAGUUCUGUAAAAUUAAAAAAUAUAACACCACAUAUGUAAAUUACAGAACAGAAUCCUCUUUUAGUACACCACUGCAGUACUUUUAGUGCAAAUACUAGAUAAAUGAGCAAGUAAAUAGAUCCAGAUGGUAAUUGUUUAGCUAUCCGGAUAAUGCUUGUUUACAUUAUGCAAGUUUAAAAGGUACAAUUAUCAUCCCUACCCACCACAUAGUCAAACAUUGAGGAUAGGUCUUUUUACCUAAAUACAAAUAGAUCCUCCUGCAUUCACAUUGAUGCUAAAAGAUAUGAUUGUUUUAGCAAACUUAUAUAAGCCACCCUUACCUCUACAGCCUAAAUAUUAGACAAAACAAUAAUGUACAAAAAAAAUAAAUAAUAAGAUCAACCAUGUAUAAAAAAGGUAGAGUCUAACUUAAUAUAUGAAGGAAUAACAAAUGAAAAAGAGACAUAAAUGGCAAAUUCAGAUACACGCCUCUUUUACUGUGAAUAGAACAAGUAAUUAUGUUAGAAAGGAUGUUCAGUGAAAGCCUUUAAUGGGCAGGUAAUCAAGACACCCUCUUUAAUAUAUCUUGUAAUUUAAGAACAAAUAUUUUUUUCACUAGAACCAACUUACCACAGUAGACCUUCUAAAGAGACCUCUCUUGACAAGUUCACGAAGUUCUUCACAUUCUUCCUGAUAACAAGAAUCUGACAUUAUUAUUUUGCCACAUUCGCUGUAAUGUCCUACAAAGUACAAGUCUACAUGCAAUGGACAAUAAAUCUAGAACUGUACACAGAGAACUGGAACUACUUCUAAAACUACUUUUCACGAAAUCCCAAGAAAGGACCUAUUAGGAUCUAUGGCAAAUAUUUGUCAAUUCUACAAUAAAUAUUGAUAUUUCCUACACACGAAUCAUGAGUAGUAAAAAUAGAAAUAAGUUGUACCUCCUCAAAAUCAUCCUCUGACAGCUUAGAUAUCUGAACGUCCUUCCACAUAUUGGAGACACAUAGAACAACAUCUGUGCUCGAGUCACCAACCUUGUAUGGCUCUAAAGCUUUCUUAAUACCUGUCAUGGUAAUUGAGAACAGAGUAAUGCUUUACAUUAGCAGAUCAUGAAAAGAUACAAUUUUAUAGUCUAUGACAGCAUAUGGAUGACAUUGUUUACAUCACGACAAACUAAAGGAAAUAGUGAUUCUAUAAUUUUCCAAACAGAUUGUAUCAAGCAGAAGAGUUUGGAUUGGCUAUCUCGUCUGAUAAUUGCAGAAGAUGCUGCAAAAGGUUUGAUAUACAAGAUUUAGNGGUGAUUAAAACAAAUAGUCCAAAAGUAAAAUAUGUUAAGAAUCAGCAUAUAUAGACCAGGCUUGCUAGUACUAGAAAAUUGGAUUAAUUGCCAUGCGCCAACCGGCCCACUAAUAUCACUUAUAAGAUGGAGCUACCAGCAUGGCCCAAAAUGAACUAGUUCAGAUUCGCAAGCCCACCUACUAUAUCAUACCUACUGACUUUGCAAGCAUCUUCUGAUGUGGAAAUAUUUGGGUGCAAUAGACUUAUAUUAGGAGAAAGGCACCAGUAUUAGCCUAAAGGAAGAAAAGUUUCUGCUAUUGUAAAUUCUCAAAGGAAUGCAUUUAUCAAUAGACCAUUACACUCUAUAUGACUUUUAGGAUAUUAUAACAACAAAAGGAGUGUUGGAUACUUCCUAAUAAUACAAUAGAGAGAAAAUGUAUUCUAAUAUGAAAUGUACAGAUGUAUGUUUUUCCUUACCCACUACUUGCCCAAGCUGGUAUGAUUUUUGUGGCACGUUGUAGAAAUCUUUAGGAUCAGUCUUGACCCUCACGAAACAGCCCAUAACUUUUUUCUCAAAGGUUUCCAGGUACCUUAGAAGAUUUACAACUAAGGACUUUUUCAAGUAUAAUAGCUUGAUAUUAUCUGCAACAAUAGAGGCAUAGCAUUUAUCCUUUUGCAGAACUUUAUUAAUGUCGUGAUUCAGACCUGGAUUUUGGACCUUUUUGGAUCCAGGACCCAAAAUCCUCUUCUUUUUUAGGACUGAGUUUUCACCUUCAUCCGAACUAAAUGAAAACUCUUCAUCUGAAUCACCAUUGCUGGCGAAGUGGCUUUCCAGCAAGCUGUAGAUCUUAUGGAGCUUCACUUUUUUCUUUUUAAAUAGAAAAUGCAACUUCUCGUCACAUACUGCAUUCUUUUUCUUUUUAUCGGGAUGAGAAAGAUUGUUUGCUUGGAUGUAUUCCUUUACAAUUUCACAGCAAUCCAAUUGGGUUAGAGGGGUUGUGGUAUCCUUACCAAUAGAAGAAAGAAAACCUAUCAACUCUUCUGAACCCCAACCUACAUAGUUUUUCUUCUUUGACCUAGGUCGUUUUAUUGAAGUUUUUGCUUUAUAUUUCAGCUCACCCAAAUCUGCAAGCAAUGACAUCUUGUUGUCAAAAUUAUUAUUUUCCAACUCAUCAUCUUCAGCCAUAAGCUUAUCUGAAUCAGACCCAUCCUUAUAAUUAAGGCCCCUUCGAAGAAGAGCAUUAGCUGCUUGAAGAUCAACCAAUGAUAGACCUUCCUUGUCUUUGAUUAUUUCCCAAUAAUCCAUGAACAAAAUUUUGUAUGUUUCUGCUUCUUCUACCACAACAUUACACUGGAAAGAAAAUGCAAAAAAGAAAUGGUGAAACAAAAAUGUAAAAAUCAGAACUAGAAUACAAAAAGUAAAUGUUAAGAAUUUGAAAUCAUCAUCUAUGUAAACUUCUUACAGCAUACAAUAAAUUGUAAGGAUUUAAAGUUUUGAAAAGGAUUUGCAAUGUAGCGUACCCCAUCUGAACCGACUUGAACAUCCCCCUCUAUUGACAUUGCCAGCCUUAAACAAUUACUGCAGAGGGCCCUAUUCUUUUUCUUCACUUGUACAAACCCAGCUUCUCUAAUGCAUGUGUGACAUACAGAGUUCGGACAACAAAAACAUUGAACAGAUGAGCUCUUUUUGCAGAUAGAACACGAGUGCCAACCUGUCAAUAACAGAGUCAAGUUCUUUCAAUAUUCUACAAAUGGAAAUUCUAUCCAGUUAUGUAACUAAAAGAAAUUUUGGCAAAAGGGAAGUCCGCCUGUUAUGCAGCCCACACCAGAAUAGAACCUUUACUUGAAAUUGGCCCAUGCGCUAUCAAGAUCUUUUUUUUCCCUCAUAUAAUAAUUAGGAAAGAAAAAAAGAUCUUAUCAAUUGCUGCAACUUAGAUAACUCAACAGUCACAAUGAACUUUAACAUCGUUUAGGCUUUUGAUGGUUAAAGCCUUCGUAGACAAUUUAUGCUUGAGAAUUAUCAAGUUAUUAUCAAAAUCGAACCUAACUAAAGUAUCUUACAUUACUAACAAACUUGCAUGAUCAUUUUAUUAUAUUGUACAGACAUUCUUGUAUAUUAAUAAGUUUCAAUCAGUUUCAAAGAUGACCAGAAGUAAAGGAUUCUACAAACUGUCAUAUUUAUCAGUCAUUUCAAAAUAAUAUAAAUUUUAUAGCAUAGCCUAAGGAUCACACAAGGCGAUCCCAUUACCAAGUUCAACAAAUAUUAAAAUGUAAUUCACUCCCCAAAAAUUAACUUGAUCGAAUUAAAGUGGAUAAAAUUUUGGUAGCGGUCUCAACAUGUGUUGCUAGCUAUAGAUUCCACGUGAUGUGAUGCAAUAGGAAGUCGUAAAAUAGAAUCAUGCAAACAUGCAGAAAUAUACAUAAAGUUACCACAGGUCCAUUGCUCAUCUGUCUCAAGGAAAGUAGGAUCCCUUCCAACACAUUGAGGAUGAUAAGCUUUCAGACAAUUCCUGGAAAAGAACAAAAAUAUCAUCAUUUAAAAUGCAAAAGACCACAAAAAUUGCCAAAUACGAGUUGUGUAUACUGUACAGACUAUAGAACUCAAAUAACCAGUAGUUUAAAAAUCACCAUGCAUUGAAGAACGCAAUCAUCAAAUGAAAGGAUCAGAAAAUGUGUGCAAUUAAAGAUAUAGAAACAAAAACAACAGUCAUGUAUAAUCAUAGACAUUCAAGAAUACAAAUAUAAAUGGAAAUUAUGAUUCUUCCCUCAAGUUAAGCACACAUUUUUAUGAUAACCGAAUGGUCUGAAAGUAUAAUUCUUCCUACAAAGAGAUGAGACAGAUAAAUUAUUUACAACAAUCUUCUUUAUGUCGAAAAUCAGCAAAUAAUCUACUCUAUGUGCACCGGUGUCUGCUCUAACCUAUUUAUCUGAGUUCCUAUAAAUUUUGGCAUAAAAGGGUACAAGCUAAAACUAAAUAAAAAAUAGCAAAGCAUGGUGCUGCCACCUCUUCUUUCAAACUAAAGAUACAUAAUCACUAUGAAGAAGAAAGAGAAGAAAAGUCGAAACCUCAUGAUCUACACAUAAGAUGAAGAAAAAUAUUAACUCAUAGAUCAAUACUAAUCUUCUAUUCUAAUUAGGUGUGAAAGUGUAAGUUAAUUACACUUUACCACGCGGUACUUCAGGAUUUUUUUUUUUCUCAUUUGCCACGCCUCCCCACUCCCAGCCCGCUGCCCCCCCCCCAACCCGCCAUUAAGCUAUCAUUCUCAUUUUCUCGCGGAUAACACGGCUAAACUAUUGUUAUCUCACCAAAAACACCACAGAACUACCGUUUUCACGCCAAAAAAUAGCAGCGAACUAUUAUUUCUCAACUGAGAUACUACCAAACUAUUAUUUUCUCGCCAAAGAUACCACCAAGCUAUCAUUUCAAUUGGGUUUUUUACAACAAAAAAAAAAAAAAAAAAAAAAANACAAAUGAAAAUAACCCCCAAAAUACAGUGUCUUCAAUUGUUAUUAAGACUAAAGAAUACAACCUAGUUAAGUUUCCAAACAUAAAAUAAGAAGAACCACCAUAAAAUUUCAACACCUCAACACUAAAAGAACAACAAAUAGUAAUUCUAGGCAAGGGAAAAUGCAAUGUGAAUCAAAAUAUUCCAAACAAACAUAUAACAAAAUACAACAUUUAACAAAAUUUCGGAGCUCACUUGUAAUCACAAGCACGAAGAAGCCCCCCAUCCUUGCAAACAAAGCAAAAAUCCUCCGCAAUCUCCUCCUCCUCGUACGCAUUACUCCUCCCCAUAUCACAAACACAGCCACAAAUACCUAAACCCCACCUUUAACACACGACUACUCCAAUUUCCCCUCGAAUUGAAGAACCGAACAACCUAUUUCCCCAAGAAGCCUCGUAUACUGAGAAACCCAUCGAUCCACUACCGAAUUUGAGCAAAACCUACUGUACGGAGCAGCAACUAUAAGCGCUUCGAUCGAAUACCUAGUUGGCUGGAUUCGGAGAGGUGCAAAUCGAAGCUUCGUGGAGUGGGAGGGGAGGGAGAAGAGGAGAGAGAGAGAAAGAGAGAGAGAGAGAGGAGGGAAAAAGGAGCCAAAUUUGGGAGUAAAACCCUCGUGAUCUCUCUACUCCCUCGUGCGCUCGGAGGGAGACGGUACUUUUACCACGAGCCCCUUGUAUGUUAUAUAUAUUACAAACGAAUGUGUAUGUGUCGUUUAUAAUGGAGAAAAUGUGUGGAGACCCCCUGAUCUUUAGCACGUUUGCAAAAGAGCCCCUGAACUUUCACUAUUGGCAAAAGGAUACUUUUUUUUUUUUUUUUUUUUUUUAAGUUUAUCAUAUAGUUCAAUAGACCCGUUCCUCCGCAACAAGUGAAUUUACUAAUUACAAAACCGUUUCGAUCUAUUAGGGAUGCAAACGGAUCCGGGUUGGUGAAGCUCCCGCCCCGAUCCACCCCGACGGGGUAGUAAAUGGAAGAAAAUAAAGGCUUCAGGGCGGGAAACGGGAUAAAUUUUACGAUCUGAGAUGGAUUCGGAAUAGAAAACUGAAAAAAAUUUUGACCCGCUCCGAAUCCGCCCCGCCAUGAUCCGCCCCGAAUCCGCCCCNUAUUUAUAUUUUAAAAAAAUAUUCCUAAAAAAUAAUGUAUUUACAAAAAAGUUUAAAAUACAAAUAACUUAGUACUCUCAUUUCUAAUGUAUUUGAAACUUUUGAAUUUUAUUUUGAAUUGUGAUUGAUAUUUUUUAUUUUUAUAAUUAAUAUUGUUAAAUUAUAUAUAUAAUAUUAUUAAAAAUUAUUAUUUUAUAUUUUACAAAAAAUUAAUAAUAUUAUAAUUUUAUAAAAAAUAUUAGUUGGCGGGGGCGGAUUCGAAGCGCCGGCGGGAGGCGGGUUACGAGGCAGGGUGGAUUAUGGGAUGUAUUUUUUAACCCGUCACGAAUUCAGGGCGGAAGGUGGGGCGGAAUUUUGUUAGUCAGGGCGGGAGGCGAGGCUGGGCUCCCGCCCCCAGAUCCGCCUCGUUUGCAUCCUAUCUGAUACCAUACACAUAAUUUUAUAAUAUAAAAAAAUAUACAAUAAAAUAUAUUUCUUUUCUAGUUUUAAUAAUUAAGCAUAACGAUCAUAGAAUAAAUUAAAACGAACUUCAUUUCUUUUCGCUUAUACGUUAGAAUACAAAAAUAUUUUUUUUUAGUGUUUUGAAAUUUGAUAAAACUAUAUGCAAUAUAUGAGACCAAAAUAAUUGUAUAAUUAAUAAUUUUAAUUGAAGAGAUUAAUCUAUUGAACUAUUUGAUAAAAUUUAAGAAAUGAAUUGUAAUCUUAUAACCCCGCUUAUCCUACGAUCAUUUUUUGUCUAUUUGUCAAUUACCUCAUCAAUCUUUUAAAAAAAUUAAACUUCAAAAAGCGUUAAAAAAUUUUUGCAAUCCCUUUGAAGAGGGGUUGUAAUAUCUAGAUUUAGUAUUUUCCUACCGUACUCCUUUUCUAUCCUCUUCCCUUCUAUCUUUCCCUCUUCUCCGUCCUCCCAUCCAUUCUCUCGCCCUCCCCUCUCCCUCUAUCUCUACUCCCUCUAACAACUAUGACAACAAUGAUAUCGGCGUCGCCGCCGUCGAUGCUGCCAACGAUGAUAACGCCAAUGUCAAACAUUAAAUUAUUUGUAUUUAAUUAUUUUGUUUUUAGUUAUGUUUUAAAAAUAAAUUCAAUUUGAUACAAUCUACUAAUAAAUUAUGUUUUUUUUCAUAUUUUGAUCCAAAAAGAAAAAAAGGGUUUGUUUUGAUUAUUAUAACUUUUCUUCAUUGAGUGUUUUUUUAAGAGGUAAUCCAAAUAGUAAAAAAAAAAAGUAAUUUUUGUACAUAGUAUAUAAUUUUUCAAAAUGUUAAAUACGGUAGAAAAUAAAAUUCUAUUUUCUUUUUCAAUGAAUGCUAAAUAGGCCCUAAGUCUACAAUUCAAAAGGAUUGUAAUAUUUCUAGCCCAUAACUAAAUGAUUUUAAGAUUUAAAUAAUUUUUUUGACUUUAAGUUUAAUAUAAUGAUGGGUUAGGUUGUAAAAUUACAACCUAAAUAGGGCGGUAGACCUAGCAACACUUUUUAUAAUAUCUAAGAAAAGCUACAAUUUAGCCCAGCUUGCAAAGAUACAAAUGGAUUCUGGUUGGCAGAGCUCUCGCCUGAUCCACCCUAAAUGGGGUAGACCCUAAAUGGGGUAGUAAAUAAAUACCAAUAGACAAAUUCAAGGUACUAAAUUCGGAUAGUUUUUUAUCCCAAAAUAGAUUUGGAGCAGAAGAUGAUAAAAAGUUUAAUCAAUCCUUAAUUCGUGCUGCCAUGUCCCACCCCGAAUUUGUCCCAAUAAAUAUUAAUUAUAAAAUAAUUUUUAUUUUAAAAAUAUUAUUUGAUAUUAAAUGUUAGCUCUUUCUAAAAUUAAUAUGAUUUAGGAGAUGCUUAUUUUUAUGAUAUUUUAAUUAUUUUUAAAAUUUUAUUUUUUAUUAAAACAAAAAUAUAUGUUUAAUUUAAAUUUAAAUAAAAAAUAAAAAAAUAUUUAAUUAGGGUGGAUUUGGGGCGCCUAGGGCAGAUUUCUAAGUAUGGUGAGUUAUGAAAGAUAUAUUUUAUUUCAUCAUAGAGGUGAGACGGGAGGCUAGGCAGAUUUGGUGUUGGCUGGGUAAGAGGCGGGGUGGGUCUUUCACCUCCAAAUUCACUCUGUUUGCAUUCCUAGCCCUACGUACUUACGUAGUUUAAUGCAUUUUAUAUUUACAUCCUAUGUUUUAAAAAUGGAUAAUUACUUAUGUACCUCUCAGAACUUCAAAAAUAUUUUAUUUAUCCCACCUUUUUUUUUCUUUCUAAUAUAUCCCUCAUAUUUUCAUCCGUUAUUCUAAAAUACUCCUGCAAUUAUCAGCCGUUAAGUUAACUUGGAUUAAAUAUGAGUUAAAUAUCUACUAAAAUUUAAAAAAAAUCAAAAUGCCUAUUUUACUCUUAACUUAAGGGCAAAUAAGAAAUGUUGGUGAUAAUUAAAAGGUAUAUUUGAAAAGGCCAAAAAUUAAAAUACUUUUUGUACCCCUAACUUAACGGCCAAUAAGAAAAGUCGUAAUGGUGGAAGGGUAUAUUUGAAUAGAAAAUUAGUAAUUUUAUAUAGAUAAUAGUUAUUGUAACAGUUUGUUAACAGAAUUUAACUCUAUAGAUAUAUUUGAAGUAGGUUGGAACGUAAAAGAAUAUUUUCAAUAUUCUUCUAAAAGGAGUAAAUUAGAAAGUCCGGAAUAUUUCAGGUAUAUAUAAGCAAUUGCCUCAUUUUAAAAAAACUAUUAUUUUGAUGUAUUGUAUUUUUUUUAUUUUACUGUAAAAAUUAUAAUAUAAUUUGUAAAUUAUAAAAUAAAAGUAUAU
rnacentral:lncRNA from 1 species